AAUUUCAUUCCCUUACCCUAGAGACCUAAUGAGAUAAAAAAAAGGAGGACCCUAGAGCUUUAGUAAAACGGCGCAUCAACUGCUGCCUUUCUUCUUCUGCCAAACACACUCCAUUACAACUAAAACUUCACUCCGAAAGCCAUGAAAAUCAACCACGAAAUCCACCAAAAAUUAGCUCCAAUUCACCCCAAAUCAUCUCCGAACAACCUAGAAAAUGCAGCUGAAGCAGCUGCAAAAAUAGUCCAUAAACCAGCCAUGUUUCCAUAUCAAAACCCCUGCAAAAAUCAGUUCAAAACAUAAGCUAAAAAUCCACAAAAUCUGCUUAAAAUCAUCUCCAAAAUAACUCCAAAACGAGCUGAAAAACACUCCAUGAAAACAGCUUAAAAAAUGACCAUUGAAACCCAGCUUCCCACCUCAAAAAGACCACCUGAAAAAUAAUUAAAGUUUCGAGUCAAAGUCGAGGGUCUUGGUACAAAUAAAGUCGAGGUCAACGUCAAGCUUUUCGAGUCAUGGUUUUGUUUGGUCUUGUUCGCAUUUUCGGUGUUUGUCGCCGGGUUCUAUUUUCUAUUUGAACAACUUUUAUUGUUGUACCAAGCUUUGGUUUGAAGGCCCUUUAUAAAUACACAGAAAAGUUUUCACAUGGGUUCUUUCUUUUCCAAUCUCAUUUUAUGGUUGAUUUGCUUUGAAUUGUUAUUUAUGUUGUUUGAGCAUUUGGAUGCCUUCACAUUGGUUGAUUCUAUGUUUAUUAGUUACUCUCUUUUGUUAAAUAAUUUUAUUUGAGGCAAAUCUUUACAUUGUUCAUUGAAUUGCAUUGGGCUAUUUAGUAAGCUUGAUCUUAAAAGUUUAUUGGUCUGACAAAAUGAGCCAUGAAGGAGCAAAUACAGAUUCUGGUCGUUGAAUGGAUUUUAAAUAUAAAAUUUGGUCUUAGAUUUAGUAUUGGAAGAUUUGAAUCCUUAAUAAAUAUCUGACUUUAGUUGUUGGGCUGCAGAGUUUUGGUAAAUACUAACCUAUUUAUUCCACUAACUAAUUUACUCUAUUUUAACAACCAUUCCAUAAAUCAUGUCCUUACAAUAAUCUUAAAACUAGUAUAGAUUAUAACUCAUGAACACCGUAGUUUACUUUAGGCGCGAUUAACAAUAAUUAUCGUGGCCAUAUGUACGGUUCCCGUGGCAUGGUCACGAUACAUAAUCCCUAACUCAGGUGUGUAUUUCAUGUGACACGACCAUAACUUUGAACAAUUAUAAAAUAAAUAUUUUGUAGAUCGUGGGUACAAUUCCCGUGACGCGAUUCGCAAUGCGUACAAAAAUAAAGAAGUGUACGCAUCGCGACUUGUUCAAACAAACUCCAUAAAUAAUUAAAAGCGGUUAAAAGUUAAAAAAUACACAAUAAGUCUUAAACAUGUAAUAAAUAAUAUAAGUAGGCCAAUUAUAAGUACUUGCGUGAUUGUGCUAAAAUCACGGAACUCGGGAUGCCUCACACCUUCUCUCGGGUUAAUAGAACUCCUUACCCGGUCUUCUAUGUUCGCAAACCAUAAAUAAGAGUCAAUUUCCUCGAUUUGGGAUUUAAAAUAAACUUGUGACUCGGGACACCAUAAAUUAUCCCAAGUGACGAUUCUGAAAAUAAAUAAAAUAAUCUCAUUGCGAUUAAUGUCACUUAAACUCCCUACCCCCCUCAGGAAAAAGGAGGUGUGACAGCUUUGGCGACUCUGCUGGGGACAUGAACCCAGAAUCUUUGGUUCUGGAUUUAUAAUUUGAGCUUAGAAUAACUGUUAUAGUUGGCUGUUAAAUAUUAUAUGAUUUUUACGUGUUCAAGCCUAAUGUGCUAAAUGUCGCUUUUUACCGCUUUGAUAUUGUUUGAACUGCAUAUAAAUUGUUAUAAAACCCUUCUUCUCUCUAAGUCUUAUAAAUCUUCUAGGAAGUGUACGCUGACGUGACUUCUUUUCUGUUAGUGUCAUACCCUAAUUUAGAACGAGGUUCAGACAAGUUGCAAAGCCGGAUGAUCUUUUGGUUACCGAUACGCUUCUUCCCUCGGCUCGAGCUGUCCACUCAGGUAAGCCACUUCUAGAACAAUACUGUGAUCACCUAACUUUUGACCAUGUUUGAAUUUAUUCCCACUUUUCACACUCACUUCCCACUUCCCCCACUUUCUCCACUUACUACCCACUUCCCCCACUCUCUCCACUCAUGUUCCCCACCUAUAUUCCUCACACUUCCAUCACCUAAUCUCUACUUAUAACACACGACACACACACACAGACACACAAAAGAAGGAAAAAGAAAAAAAAAGUAUUUUUGCUUCUACAAUUUAAAGCUCCACAGAAAAGCUGAAAAAAUCAGUCUUUAAGCUCCAUAGAUCUCCAACCCAUAAGCCUGUUCUUUUGUCCUUUUUUCUCCAUAAAAAAUACAGCUUCUUUUGCUUUGAAUAACAGCUAAAACGUGCUCAAUUUAAGCCUAAAACACCCCGGAAGCUUCUCCACUUUUCAGUCAAUUUUGUGUUUCCGACAAGGUUGUGCAGUUGGAGGUUGGAGGUUGUGGUCGCUGCUCUUAGCUCGAUUAUUGAAUAACAAAAAUUCUAAAGUUUGAAUACAAUCAAUACAAGGUUUAUUUUACUUCUCUGACAAAUUUUUAUAAUGCUACAUACUCCUGUUCCUUUAUUUGGUUGUAGUCAUGUGAAUAUUCUAUCUUUAAAUGUGAUUAUGGUUUGUUUUAUUGACUUAUUAUUAGCUUAUAUGCUUAUAAGAUUUUGUUUAGUUGUUUGUUAAGUUGACAAUUUUUAUAACUUCUGUUUGUUGAAUAUUUCAAAUAUAGGCAUCAUUGGUUAGCGUAAAACUAAUAAAUUUUGUUCAGAUGGUUGAAUAUUGUUUCUGUCACGACCCUAACCCCGAACCCGGUCGUGAUGGCGCCUCUCAUGAAGACGAGGCCAGCCAAACCAAAACAGAACACCUCUUUUAAACAUUUAAAUACCAUAAAUAGUUCUAAAACAUGAUAUAAUAACUAUAAUUUGCGGAAAUAACGAUAACAACGGUUGAAACCAUCCCGACACAGUGGGGUGUCACAAGUCAUGAGCAACUAAUAAAUUCGGAUACCAGUCUACUAGAUACAAAAUCCGAUAUAGAAGUUCAAGAACAUGAUAAUAGUAAGAUAAGGGAGGAACGGGGGCUGCGGACGCCAACAACUACCUCGUAGUCUCCGAAAACAUUGCGUGGACUGGAAGGAUCAACACUCAGGAGCGGACUCUGCGAUGCCUGAAUCUGCACACACGGUGCAGGGAGUAAUGUGAGUACUCCGACCCAGUGAGUAAUGAAUAUAAAUAAUGGCUUAAAGCAAGAAAACACGUAAAAGCACAAAGCAGUUCUAUAUCUAGCAGUAAAAUCACUUAAAGCAGUAAAUCCAUGAAGAAGCCAAAUGAAAUUCCUUUAAACUAAGUAAAACAGGUAAUUUAGCAAGUAAAUAACAAGUAGAAAUCCGCCCCUCGAGCACAGUAACAAUCACUCAGAAUAGUAUCAGCCCCUCGGGCUCACUCUAAGUACAAUAUCAGCCCCUCGGGCUCACUCUCAGUAUAGUAUCAGGCCCUCGGGCUCACUCUUAAAUCAUGAUGGGUACUCGCGCUCACUGUAGGGGUGCAGACUCCAGAGGGGCCCCUUACGACCCAAGCGCUAUAUCAAGCCACCUCGUGGCGUAUACAAGUAUCUCAAGCCCUCGGCCUCAUAUCACUCAGCAUAUCCUCACAUAUGGCCCUCGGCCUCACUCAGUCCGAAAAUCAUCACAAGCCCCUCGGGCAUUAGUAAAAUAGUAGUUCUCAGCCUAAAACAUUAUUUAGAAAUAUCAUUUAAGUUUCAAAUAUGAAUAAAAGUGGCUAAGUUUGUAAAAUAGUAAAUAUCAGCUGGACUGAGUUCAAGUAAUAAGUCAAACAGUAAGGAAUUAGUGAUAAAAAUCCCCGAAGGGUUCAAAUAGUUGGCACGAAGCCCAAAUAUGGCAAUCAGCCCAAACCAUGAUGAUAACAAACAAGUUUCAGUAAUAAACGACUCUACUCUCAUCAUCAAGCGCGUGUCUCACCUCAAUAUAGUACUACGAUGUGCAAUCCGGGGUUUCAAACCCUCAGGACAUCAUUUACAAUCAUUACUCAUCUCGAAUCGGCUACAACUUUAGUUCGCGAUGCCUUUGCCCCUCGAAUCGGCCUCCACGCGCAUCAAAUCUAUCCAAAAUCAGAACGAAUAUAUCACAAUAUGCUAAGGGAACAAAGCCAGAGCGAAAACAAUCAAAAAAUAUCAAAAAUCCUGAAAUUAGCAAAACCCGAGCCUCGGGCCCACUUCUCGAAACUCAGAACUUUUCACAUCAUUAGAUUCCCCGUCUCCCCAUGAGUUCAUACAUAUCAAAAACACAACAAUCGGAGUUCAAUUGACCCCUCAAAUCCUUAAUUUAAGCCCUCUUAAACUCAAGCCCUAAACCUCCAUUUUUAGUCCUUUAAUCUCUUAAGUUUCAGUCCCAAUCCAUGAAAUAUUACCAUAGAAGUGUGUUUUAGGUCCAAAAUCCUUACCUUAUCGAAGUUCUCUUGAAAUCUCUCUUCAAAAUCGCCCAAAAACCCUAAGUCCGAAGUUAAAAUGAAUAAACCCUUCAAAAAUUGCGAAGAAGAAACAUAUAAAUCUUCUGCCCAGACAUAAUCGCAUCUGCGGUCCAAUAGCCGCUUCUGCAGUACCGCUUAUGCGGUCAUUUCUCCGCAUCUGCGGAAUUUCACUUACGAAUCCACAACGCAUCUGCGGUCCACUCGCAUCAUCUGCGACUUCGCAGGUGCGGUCCCUUUUCCACAUCUGCGAUACCAGGCCGCCCUCAAACUUCCGCUUCUGCGACCCAAACAAUGCAUCUGUGAGACCACACCUGCGGUCCCCAAACCGCAGUUACAAAAACACCAAAAGCAGCAGAAACUCUGCAAUCACUCAAGUUCCAAAACUUCCCGUUAGCCAUCCGAAAUCACUCCGAGGCUCCCGGGACCUCAACCAAAAUUACCGACAUGACCCAAUACCUUAUUCGAACUUGUUCCAAUCAUCAAAACACCUCAAACAACAUCAAAUUACCCAAAAUUCAUCGAAUUCAAGCCUAAUUUUUAUAAAUCUUCCAAAAUACGCUUUCGAUCAAAAAUCCAACCAAACCACGUUCGAAUGGCCUGAAAUUUUUCACACACAUCACAAAUGACAUAACGAAGGCACAACAACUCUCGGAAUUCCAUUCCGACACUCGGAUCAAAAUCUCGCCUAUCAACCGAAAAUCGCCAAAAUACUAACUUCGCCAAUUCAAGCCUAAUUCUACACCGGACCUCCAAUACCAAUUCCGAUCAUACUCCUAAGUCAUAAAACACCUCCCGAAGCUAACUGAACCGUUGGAACUCACAUCCGAGCUCUCUUACUCAUAAGUCAACAUCCGGUUGACUUUUCCAACUUAAACCUUCUUAAAAGAGACUAAGUGUCUCAUUUCUUACCAAAUCCACUCCGNNNNNNNNNNNNNNNNNNNNNNNNNGUCUCCCAAGUAGCCUCCUCCAUGUGCCGACCUUUGCAUUGCACUUUCACUGAAACUAUAUCCUUUGACCUCAACUUCCAAACCCGACGACACAAAAUAACUGCUGGCUCUACAUCAUAGGUCAAAUCAUUAUCCAACUAAACCGUGGUGAAGUCUAAAACAUGUGACGAGUCCCCAAUGUACUUUUGGAGUAUAGAAACAUGAAAUACCGGAUGCAUGCUAGACAAGCUGGGUGGUAAGGCAAGCUCAUAAGCCACUUCAACAAUCCUCCGAAGCACCUCAAAAGGCCCAAUGAACCGCGGACUCAACUUUCUUUUCUUCCCAAAUCUCAUGACACCCUUCAUGGGAGAAACCAUCAGCAAGACCUUCUCACCAACCAUUAAGACACAUCUCGAACCUUCCGGUCCGCAUAACUCUUUUGUCGCGACUGCGCUGUACGAAGCCUCUCCUGAAUUACCUUCACUUUUUUCUAAGGCAUCUGAACCAAAUCUAUCCCCAAUAGCCUAGCCUCGCGGGGCUCAACCAACCAAUUGGAGAUCUACACCGCCUCCCAUACAAAGCCUCAAUGGAGCUAUCUGAAUACUCGAUUGGUAGCUGUUACUGUAAGCAAACUCUGAAAGCGGUAGAAACUUAUCCCAUGAACCUCCGAAAUCAAUAACACAAGCACACAACAUGUCCUCCAAUAUCUGAAUAGUACGCUCGGACUCCCCGUUCGUCUGAGGAUGUAAAGCUGUGCUCAACUCCACCUGAGUACCCAACUCUGGCUGAACUGACUUCCAAAACUGGGAAGUAAACUGAGUACCCCGAUCUGAAAUGAUGGAAACUGAAACACCAUGCAGCCGAACAAUCUCCCGAAUGUAUAACUUUGCUAACCGCUCUGAAUAAUAGGUAGUACACACAGGAAUGAAGUGCACGGACUUGGUCAGCCGAUCCACAAUCACCCAAAUAGCAUCAAACUUCUUUAAAGUUCGUAGAAGUCCAAAAACAAAGUCCAUAGUGAUCCUUUCCCACUUCCACUCAGGAAUUACCAUCUGCUUAAGCAAGCCACCCGGUCUUUGAUGCUCAUAUUUUACCUGCUGACAAUUGAGACACCGAGCUACAAAUCCCACAAUAUCUUUCUUCAUUCUCCUUUACCAAUAGUGCUGCCUCAAAUCUUGAUACAUCUUCGCAGCCCCCGGAUAAAUGAAAUACCGUGAGCUAUGGGCUUCCUCCAGAAUCAACUCCUAAAGCCCAUCCACAUUGGGCACACAAAUCCAUAACUGCAUCCUCAACACCCCAUCAUCACCGAUGGCCACAUCUUUAGCAUCAUCAUGCUGCACUCUGAUGCGAUCAUAUAAGGAAGACCGAGAAACCACACACGUCAACACCUGACUGGGCAUCGAGAUAUCCAACCUCACGAACCGAUUGGCCAAGGCCUUAACAUCAACUGCAAGAGGUCUCUCCCCAACUGGAAUAUAUGCCAAACUCCCCAUACUCACUGCCUUUCGGCUCAAAGCAUCGACCACCACAUUGGGCUUUUUCGGAUGGUACAAUACAGUGAUAUCAUAAUCUUUAAGCAACUCCAACCAUCUCCGCUACCUCAAAUUAAGAUCCUUUUGCUUGAGUCAACUUGGUCAAGGACGAUGCGAUAGAUGAGAAUCCCUGAACAAACCGGCAAUAAUAGCCUGCUAGCCCAAGAAAACUACGAAUCUCUGUGGCUAAGGACGGUCUGGGCCAACUCUGACCCACCUCUAUCUUCUUCAAAUCAACCUGAAUACCCUCGCUGGAUACCACGUGCCCCAAGAAAGCCACUGAACUGAGCCAAAACUCACACUUGGAGAAUUUUGCAUAAAGCUUCUCCUCCCUUAAUCUCUGCAACACAACUCUCAAAUGUUCCGCGUGCUCCUCCUAACUACGCGAAUAUACCAGAAUAUCAUCAAUGAAUACAAUAACAAACGAAUCCAGAUAAGGCCGAAAUACACUAUUUAUCAAAUGCAUGAAUGCUACUGGGGCAUUUGUUAGCCCGAAAGACAUCACAAGGAACUCGUAAUGACCAUAUCUGGUCUCGAAAGCAGUCUUAAGAAUAUCUAAAUCCCUGAUCUUCAACUAGUGAUAACCCGAACAGAGAUCAAUCUUGGAGAACAAUCCCGCUCCUAGAAGCUGGUCAAAUAAAUCAUCAAUGCGAGGCAAAGAAUACUUGUUCUUAAUUGUUACUUUGUUCAAUUUCCUAUAAUCAAUGCACAUUCUCAUGGUGCUAUCCUUCUUCUUCACAAACAAAACGGGCGCACCCCAAGGAGACAUACUAGGCCGAAUGAACCCCUUAUCUAGGAGUUCCUAAAGUUGUUCCUUCAACUCUGCUGGUGCCAUACGAUAUGAUGGAAUAGAAAUGGGCUGAGUGCCCGACACCAGGUCAAUACGAAAAUCAAUAUCCCUGUAUGGUGGCAUGCCCGGCAGAUCUGCAAGAAAAACAUCGAGAAAAUACCUCACAACUGGAACAGAAUCAAUGUUAGGAGUCUCAGCUCCCACAUCCCUCACAAAGGCUAAAUAUGAAAGAAAACCCUUCCCAACCAUACGCUGGGCCUUCAAGAAAGAUAUCACUCUACUAGGGACAUAAUCAGUCACACCACGACACUCGAUCCGCGGUACACCCGGCAUAGCCAAAGUGACUGUCUUAGCAUGAUAGUCUUGAAUAGCACGACACGGAGAUAACCAGUCCAUGCCCAAAAUCACAUCAAAAUCCACUAUGCUCAAUAGCAAUAGAUCCACUCGGGUCUCCAGACCGCCAAUAGUCACCACACCACACAUGACCGGUACACAUGGUCUACAACAAUAGUAUCAUCCACCUGGGUAGAUACAUGAACAGGUAAAACAAGAAACUCAUGGGGUGUACCCAUAUAACAAGCAAAGUAUGAUGACACAUAAGAAAAGGUGGAACCGGGAUAAAAUAACACAGAGACAUCUCAGUGGUAGACUGAAACAAUACAUGUAAUGACAGCGUCUGAAGCAAUGGCGUCUGGCCUGCCUGGAAGUACAUAGAAACGGCUCUGACCGCCUCCUGAUCGACCUCCCCCUAUGGGGCGACCCCUGAGGUGCCAGAUACUCUCUCUCUAGUUAGAAAAAUCCAUAGCUGAUAGUUGAGGCCAUCAACGAACCUCCUAAUCCUCGCCCUAUUUGUAGGAACUAGCCAAAUAGCAUGGCAGGCCAACUCGAAGAACCUCAUCUCACAUCACAGACAUGCCCUCUUGACGCAGAUGCUCGAACUCCCUGCGCAGCUCCUCCCUGCGGGAAUGCGAUACAUACUUCUCUAAGAAGAUAAUGGAGAACUAAUGCCAGGUAAGGGGCGGUGCACCAACAUGCCUACGCCUCUCAUAAGCUUCCCACCAAGUAAAGUCAUCUCGAGAAAACUGAAAAGUAGUAAAUGAGACCCCACUAGUCUCCAGAAUACCCGUUGUACGCAACAUCCUCUGAUACUUGUCCAAGAAACCCUGAGCAUCCUCACCCUCUACACCACUGAAAGUAGAAGGCUGGAGUCUACCAAACCUUUCCAAUCGACGCUGCUCAUUGUCAGGCAUAAUUGGAACCACGAAAUCAUGAGCAAGUGUAAUCGACUGAGAUAGUGGUGCCUCCAGUGUCUGGAGUCCAAGAAAACCUGCUCGGGUGUACGGGCGGCGGGAGUCUGAGUGCCUCCCUCGGCCUGAGAAGUAGCCGCUAUCGUUGAAACUGCGACUACAUGAGCAAGACAGGUGUACACAGUCAGAAUUUGAGCCAAAGUCUCCUAGAGACCCGGAAUAACAAUAGGCACAGUCGGUGCCUGAGCUGGUGCUGCUGGAGCAUCCCCCUCUGGAGCCUAAUUAUGAACUGGGGCGCCGGGUAGAUUUGUAAGUGUUACCCUAGCUGUUGUGCAGGCCACACCCUUACCCCUACCACGACCUCGACCGAGUCCUUGACCUCUAGCGGCCCCAAAUGGUGGUACUGGUAGUCGCCCAUCCUGACUGGUAGCACGUGUCCUCACCAUCUGUGAGAGAAUAGAAUAAUAGAAGUUUAGUUACCAGAGUCAAUAGAUUCGCACGACAAGAAUUAAAGAAUGUGAAGUUUUUCCUAAAUGUUCUACAACCUCCCGAGGAUAAGUACAGAUGUCUCUGUACCGAUCCGCGAGACUCGACUAAACCUGCUCAUGACCCAUGAGACCUACGUAACCUAGGCUCUGAUACCAACAGGUCACGACCCAAAAUCUAACCACAUCAUGAUGGCGACUAUCGUGAUACUAGGCCAUCCAAUUAUUACCCAUUCACUCCAUUUUCCAAUUUAAGACUUAAGAAAAAUCAUAUUUUUAAACAGAAAUCCAAUAAGAUAAAAAUAGAACUCAAAUCCAGCGGAAAGAAAUACAUGCUCGACCUCGGAUGUCACUAAGUCAUGUACAACAUACUACAACUGUUUGAAAUAUAUAAGACUACAUAGUCGAAAAAUGUCUAAAUAAAAGUACUAUAAGGAAGAUAAGGGAAGAGAAGGCGGAACUGCAGUCGCCCGAGCAGUUACCUCGCAAUCACCACAGAAAGUUCUCAACUGGCAAGGUCAACAACUGUUACCAUGCCCCGAGAUACCUGGAUCUGCAUACAGGGGUGCAGGGGGUAACGUGAGUACACCAACUCAGUAAGUAACAAGUCUAAACUAUGGACUGAUGGUAGUGACGAACCAAACCUCAAUAGGUAGUAACAUUUAACUGUACAAAAUAGUAUACAUGCUUACAAUUCAGGUAAAUUCUCAGCAGUGAUUAAACACAGUAUGAACAAUACAGAGUAUAAAACUCAGGAUACUAUAAGUACCAAUGCACAGAUAGCAUGAUCUAUGUCACAUAUACUACUUCCACUCACAGUGCUCAACCGCUCGGUACUGUAUAUGGCCCAUUCGGCCCAAAGAAAAUCCAUCCCAGAAUGUAUAUACAUUAUAGACUAUAAGUCAUCUUGUACCGAGGAAACAUGCAAAUCCAGCCUCAUGGAGAAAAUCCAUCUCCAUAUCAAUACUUCGGACAAGAUCCAUGUCUAGGGAAGAUCUAUCCCUCAAUAUUAUCAGUUGCACUCACUGGGGGUGUAAAGACUCUGGAGGGGCUUCUCUGAGCCCAAACGCUAUAUCAACACCAGCGAAGGCAUGAUCAAUAUCUCGCUACGACAUGCAGCCCGAUCCCAUACUGUCAAUCAAUUUCAGGCUCUCAGCCUCACUCAGCCAAUACUCACCAGUCUCACAUACAGGGGCAAAAUGUCGUGAUGCAAGCCCGAACAAUGAUAUGAUAUGUCAAAUAACAAUAAUCAAAACUGAGGCAUGAUAUAAUAUGCAUGAAUAGGACUGAGUAUAGAGUAUAAAUGAAGCUAAUGACAUGACAACAAGAAAUGACCUCUCGGGUCUCAACAGUAUUGGCGUGAAGCCCUAACAUGGUAAUUAGCAUGAUUUGUAGCCCAUUAACUUAAUCACAUAGAUACAACAAAGAUAUUAGCAAGAAAGAGUCACUAAGCGGUGCCAUGGAAUGAUCCAGGCCGCAUCUCUUCGGUGCGUGCUCACACGCCCGUCACUUGGCAUUGUGUCACCUCAAUAGCAAUCAUAGAACACAUAGUUAGGGGUUUCGAACUCUCAGAACCAUGUUUGGAAGUGUUACUUACCUCAAGCCAAGCCAAACUCUAGCCCAUGAUACCUUUUCCUCUCGAUUCGGUCUCCAAAUACCCCGAAUUUAACCAAAAUCAGUACAUAACCAUCAAAAUAUACUAAGGGAAUAAAGUCCACUCGAAAAUAAUCAAAUUACAUCAAAAUCCCGAAAUUGGUCAAAACCCGACCCCUGUGUCCAUGCCUCAGAUUCCAAUAAAAUCACAAAACUAGAAUCCUUACACUCUCACGAGUUUAUGCAUACCAAGAAUGCCAAAAUCCGACCACAAAUGACCCCUCAAAUCCCUUGAUAGAGUUCUCCAAUUUCCAAGCCCUAACUCCCUAAUUUUAGGUUUCAAAUCCCCCAAAUUUCAUGUUUAAUUAGUUAGAAUCACAAUAGGAUCGAGUAUUAAGUCCAUAAAUCUUACCUCCAAGAAGUUCUCUUGAAUUCCCUUUUCAAUCUCCAUCAAGAAGCUCCAAAACCGACCAAAAAAUGGCGAACUAUGGCCAAAACUCGCGAAAAUGGCCUUUUAAACAUUCUGCCCAGUGAUUAAAAGUCCUUCUUCGCGAACGCAGUCAAAGCCUCGCGUUCACGAAGCACAAAAUUGCAUUGACCAAAAAUCCUCUUACGCGAACGCGGAAUCACCCUCGCGAACGCAAUGCUUCAGCCGACCAAACCUUCACGAAUGCGGCUACACCCACGCAAACGCGAAGCACAAAGCUCCUGGAAUCCCAGCUACCCCAAAUACUCUAUGCGAACGCGGGAUACUCAUCGCGUUCGCGAUGAACACUGAAACCAACCCUUCGUGAAUGCGGGACCCACAUCGCGAACGCGAAGGCCAAUCAUCCUACCUUACAACUUAACCCUUUGUGAGUGAGAGAGCCCUCUCGCGAACGCGAAGGCCAAAUGUCUGCAACACCAACAGUAGAAAUCUACAACUUCUCCAACAUGAAUUUGAUUCGUUUAACCACCCAAAACUCACCCGAGGCCCUCGAGACCUCAACCAAAAUGCCAACAUAUCCCAUAUAAUCAUUCAAACUUGUUCCAACCCUUGGAACGCCAAAAACAACAUUAAAACACCAAAUCAUCAUCAGAUUCAAGCCUAAGAACUCCAAAAACUUCCAAAUUCCACUUUCGAUCAAAAGGUCUAUCAAACCUCGUCCGAAUGACCUAAAAUUUUGUACACACAUCACAAAUGACAUAACGGACCUACUCCAACUUCCGGAAUUCCAUUCCGACCCUUAUAGAAAAAUCUCACCUAUCAACUGGAAAAUGCCAAAAUUCCAAUUUUGCCAAUUCAAGCCUAAAUCUACUCCGGACCUCCAAAACACAUUCCGAUCACGCUCCUAAGUCCCGAAUCACCUCCCGAAGCUAUCUGAACCAUCAGAAUUCUUAUCCGAGCCCUUUUUCACAUAAGUCAAUAUUUGGUUGACUUUUCUCACCUAAGCUUAUUCAAAAGAGACUAAGUGUCUCAUUCCUUUCUAAAACCUCUCCGAACCCGAACCAUCCAACCCAAUAACACAUAAUACAGUUGAACAACACAAUAAGAAGCAGAAAUGGAGGGAACAGAGCGGUAACUCAUGAAACGGACAAGUGUAAAAUGAUAAAACAGACUCGCUUGAACUCUCGGAAUGCACCAAACAACAUUAAAACUAAGAAUCACACCCCAAACCAAUUGAAUCAAAAAUAUGAACUUUAAGUUCUUCAAUUUACUCUCAGUGUGCCAAAACAUACUUAAACUACUCGGAAUGACACCAAAUUUUGUGUGCAAGUCAUAAAUGACAUUACGGAACUAUUCCCAGUCUUGGAUUCGAACAUACGUCCAAGUCCGAAAUCAUCAUACGAACUUAUUGGAACAGUUAAAUCCUGAUUUCGAGGUUGUUUACUCAAAAUGUUGACCGAAUUCAAACUUAGCCUUUUAAGGCCAACUAAGGAACUAAGUAUUUCGAUUUUAACCCGAACCCUUCAAAAUCCCAAACUAACCGUCCUAGCAAGUCAUAAAACAAUAAAAGCAUGUACAAGAAGUCUUAUUUAGGGGAACGAGGUUCUAAAAAUUAGAAUGAUCGGUCGGGUCGUUACAUUCUCCACCUCUUAAAGAAACGUUCGUCCUCGAACGGGUUUAGAAUCAUACUUGGAGUGCUGAAUAAGUGUGGAUGUUUGCUCCGCAUGUCCUCCUCGGACUCCCAGGUCGCCUCCUCGAUUGGUUAGCCCCUUCACUGAACCUUUACCGCAAAAAUCCUCAUGGAUAUCAACUGGCGAACCUGCCUACCAUUAAUGGCAACUGGCUCAUCCUCAUAACCCAGGCUCUCAUCUAACUGAAUCUUGCUGAAGUCUAACACAUGUGACAAGUCGGCAUGAUACCUCCGGAGCAUAGUCACGUUAAAAAUUAGAUGAACUCCUGAUAGACUAGGAGGUAAGGCAAGCUCAUAAGCAACCUUCCCAACUCAUCUCAACACCUCAAAUGGACCUAUAAACCUUGGGCUCAACUUGAACUUCUUCCUGAAUCUCAUAAUCCCCUUCAUCGGCGAGACUUUCAAGAGAACCUUCUCGCCUACCAUAAAUGAUAAAUCAUGCGCAUGAUGAUCUGCGUAACUCUUCUAUAUGGACUAUUCUAUGCGAAGUCGCUCUUAAAUCAAAUUUACCUUUUCCAAGGCAUCCUUCACCAAAUCAGUACCAUAUUACUUAGCCUCGUCGGGCUCAAACCACUCGAUGGGAGAACGAGAUCACCGACCAUAUAAAGCCUCAAAUGGAGCCAUCCGAUGUUGGACUGAUAACUAUUAUUGUAAGCAAACUCAGCCAAAAGUAAGAAUUCAUCCCAAUUCCCUCCAAAGUAAAUCACAUGUGCUAUGAGCAUGCCCUCCUAAAUCUGAACUGUCUGCUCCGACUGCCCAUCAGUCUGUUAAUGAAAUGCGGUGUUGAGAUCUACAUGGGUCCCCAACUCACUCUAUACGGCUCUCCAGAAAUACGAAGUAAACUGAGGGCCUCUAUCUGAUAUGAUGGAAAUAGGCACACCGUGCAACCGAACUAUUUCCUGAAUAUAAAUCUGGGCCAACCUCUCCGAAGUAUACGUAGUCACAACUGGAAUGAAGUGUGCCGACUUGGUCAACUUGUCGAUAAUGACCCAAAUUGCAUCAAACUUCCGCAAGGUCCGCAGUAACCCAAUACGAAGUCCAUAGUAAUGCGCUCCCAUUUCCACUCCAAUAUAAUCAUCUGCUGGGGUAGGCCACCUGGCCUUUGGUGCUCAUACUUGACCUACUGGCAAUUUAGGUACUUAGCAACAUACUCAGAUAUGUCUUUCUUCAUCUGCCAUAACCAAUAAUACUGUCUCAAGUUAUGAUACAUCUUUGUGGCACCUGGACGAUUGGAAUACCGAGAACUAUGUGCCUCCUCUACAAUCCUCUACCUCAAGCCAUCGACAUUAGGAACACAUAGACGACCCAAGAGUCGUAGAACACAAACCUUGCCGAUAGAAACCCCAUUGGCACCACCUUAUAGUAUCGUUUCUCUAAGAACCAUCAAAUGUCGAUCUUCAAAGUAUCAAGCCUUAAUCUAUUCCAAUAGUGAAAACUGGGAAACAACGCAUGCAAGAACUCGGCUGGGCUCUGAAAUGUCCAACCUUACAAGUCUGUUAGUCAAGGACUGAAUGUCCAAAGCUAGUGGCCUCUCCUCUGCUGAAAUGAAUACCAAGCUACCAAUACUCUCUACCUUUCUGCUCAAAGCAUUCACGACCACAUUUUUCUUGCCCGGAUGAUAAAGAAUGGUGAUGUCAUAAUCAUUCAGUAACUCAAUGCAUCUGCGCUACCUCAAAUUGGGAUCCCUUUGCUUGAACAAAUGCUGCAAGCUACGAUGAUCGGUGUCAACCUCAUAGGACACCCUAUAAAGAUAAUGCCUCCAGCUCUUAAGAGCAUGAACAAUAGUGGCUAACUCUAGAUUGUGCACAAGGUAAUUCUUCUCAUGAAUCAUCAGCUGACGUGAAGCAUAUGCAAUAAUACGCCCCUCUUAUAUCAGUACACAACUCAAGCCAAUGUGUGAAACGUUGCAAUACACCAUAUACAUCCCCGAACUGGAAGGCAACAGUAGAACCGAUAUUUUAGUCAAAAUUGCCUUGAGCUUCUGAAAUCUCGCCUCACAAUCAUUGGACCAACGGAACAGAGCACCCUUCUGGGCCAAUCUAGUCAAAGGUGCUGCAAUAGAUGAAAAACAUGUACCCAAGGACUCAUGAGGGAUAUCCAGAAAAUGAGAAAAUAGAGAUGAUACAUAUAAAUAGGUAGACCUUGGAUCAAAUAAUAUCAAAGCAUCCCUACUGCAGAUAGAAAUAAUACCUUUGAUCAUGACAUCUGAGGCCACUGUAUCUAGUCUGGCAGAAAACGCAUAGAACCUAGCUGGAGCACCAACUGGCUAGCCUCCGCCUAACUAAAUAGUAGCUGGCUGACCCCUCUGCUUGGCCUCCACCUCUAGGACGACCCCUACCCACCUGCCUUACACCUUUGGGUGGUCGGACGACAGGUGUUGUAAUCAUGAGUUGAUGACCCUGCUGCACUGCCUUGCCCUAAAGUUUGGGACAAAAUCUCUUCAUGUAACCUAGAUACCCACACUCGUAACAACCUCUUGGCACCAUAAACUGCUACCCUGAAGUCUAACCCCGAUCACCUGAAAUCCACUAAAAGAACACUGGAUAGCUGGUGAGUGGUAUGAACUCUUUGACAUGGCACUGAAAUAGGCGCUGGAAGAACUCGGGUGACCUGAGUACCCACUGGAAGAACCCUGAAUAACUGGUGGGCAGUAUGAACUCUCUAGCAUGACACUGAAAUAGGGUCGCGCUGGAGCACCCUGAGGAGGUGGUGGUACUAGAUAUGUGGACUUGCUAGGCUGACCCCUCCUAAACUGACCUCUACCCCCAGCCGAGGCAUCUCUAAACUCUCCAAAAAAAUGGGACCUCUUGUCCCGCUGCAUCUGCUCUCUACCCCUUUGAUGGUAGCCCUCAAUCCUCUGAGCAAUCUCCACUACUAGCUGAUAAAAAGUCCCAAUCUCAACCUCCUGGGCCAUACUAUCCUGAAUAGCGGAGUGCAACCCCGCACCAAACCUCUGCACUCUCUCUGUGUCAGUAGGAAGUAUCAUGAGUGCAUGGCGAGGAAACUCAGAGAAUCUCGCCUAAUAAUCGGUCACUGUCAUUUGACCCUGUUGGAGCAGCUCAAACUGACACCGCAAAUCUUCCCUAUGAGAGGGUGGGGUAUACAUAUCCAAGAAAAGUUGUGUAAACUGAUCCAACGUCAUGGGAGGAGAAUCUGUUGGUCUGCUAAGAAGAUGAGACUUCUGUGAGCACCUAAUAUUUGCGCUACAUGGAAAUGACCAAGCUGGAGCUGCUCAAACUGACACCGCAACUCUUCCUUCUGGAAGGGUGGGAUAUACAUAUCCAAAAAUAGCUGUGUAAACUGAUCCAAAGUCAUGGGAGGGGAAUCUGCUCGUCGGCCAAAAAGAUGAGACUUCUGUGAGCACCUAAUAUUUACGCUACAUGAUAAUUAAUCCUAAAAAAUUUAAAAAAAAUUAUAAAUAUUUCAAAAUAGUUUUAAUCAAUUUUGUAGAAUUUUAAGAAAUUUUCUCAAGUUUAGUUAAAUUAUUUUGCAUUUCAUUUUUAUGCAUAAGCACUUUAAAUCAUGAAAAUGCCAAAAAUAUUUUAUUCAUGCAUUAAAUUUUAUAUUUUAAUUGCAUGUUAGUUCUAUUUAUAAAUAUAAAAUACCAAAAAUACAUUUGUCAUUGUUAGUUUAAAUUAUUAGAUAAAAAUAGCAUAGGUUACUUCUGCAAAAAUAGGAUUAAUUUGAAUUAAUGGCUAAGUGGCUACAAUUUGAAAACAAUUGAUCAAAAGCUGAAAAAGAUCAAAUUGGGCCAAUUCUAUUAGCCCAAAGCUACAAAAAGAAUUUUGGCAGCCCAAUUACCCAUCUGCCCCAAGCCUGGCCCAAUAACCCAACCCCUCUCAUUAAAACCUCCCCCUUCCAAAAAAAAAGACCUAGACCUAAUUUCAUUCCCUUACCCUAGAGACCUAAUAAGAUAAAAAAAAGGAGGACCUUAAAGCUUUAGGAAAAUUGCGCAUCAACUGCUGCCUUUCUUCUUCUGCUAAACACACUCCAUUAUAACUAAAACUUCAACUCCAAAAGCCAUGAAAAUCAACCACGAAAUCCACAAAAAAUCAGCUCCAAUUCACCCCAAAUCAUCUCCGAAUAGCCUAGAAAAUGCAGCUGAAGUAGCUGCAAAAAUAGUCCAUAAACCAGCCAUGUUUCCACAUCAAAAUACCCUGCAAAAAUCAGUUCAAAACAUAAGCUAAAAAUCCACAAAAUGUGUUCAAAAUCACCUCCAAAAUAACUCCAAAACGAGCUGAAAAAUACUCCAUGAAAUAGCUUCAAAAAUGACCAUUGAAACCCAGCUUCCCACCUCAAAAAGAUCACCUAAAAAAUAAUUAAAUUUUCGAGUCAAAGUCAAGGGUCUUGGUACAAAUAAAGUCGAGGUCAACGUCGAGCUUUUCGAGUCAUGGUUUUGUUCGCUCUUGUUCGCAUUUUCGAUGUUUGUCACAGAGUUCUGUUUGCUAUUUGAACAACUUUUAUUAUUGUACCAAACUUUGGUUUGAAGGCCCUUUAUAUAUACGCAUUAAAGUUUUCACAUAGGUUCUUUCUUUUCCAAUCUCAUUUUAUGGUUGAUUUGCUUUGAAUUGUUAUUUAUACUAUUUGAGCAUUUGGAUGCCUUCACAUUAGUUGAUUCUAUGUUUAUUAGUUACUUUCUUUUGUUAAAUAAUUUUAUUUGAGGCAAAUCUUUACAUUGUUCAUUGAAUUGCAUUGGGCUAUUUAGUAAGCUUGAUUUUAAAAGUUUAUUGGUCUGACAAAAUGGGUCAUGAAGGAGCAGAUACAGAUUCGGGUCAUUGAAUGGUUUUUAAAUAUAAAAUUUGGUCUUUGAUUUAGUAUUGGAAGAUUUGAACCCUUAAUAAAUAUCUGGCUUUAGUUGUUAGGAUGUAGAAUUUUGGUACAUACUAACCUAUUUAUUCCACUAACUAAUUUACUCUAUUUUUAACAACCAUUCCAUAAAUCAUGUCCUUACAAUAAUCUUAAAAUUAGUAUAGAUUAUAACUCAUGAACACCGUUGUUUGCUUUAGGCGCGAUUAAUAAUAAUUAUCGUGGCCAUGGGUAUGGUUCCCGUGGCAUGGUCACGAUACAUAAUCCCUAACCCGGGUGUGCAUUUCAUGUGACACGGCCAUAACUUCGAACAAUAAUAAAAUAAAUAUGUUGUAGAUCGUGGGUACGGUUCCCAUGACGCGAUUCGCAAUGCGUACAAAAAUAAAGAAGUGCAUGACAUCGCGACUUGUUCAAACAAACUCCAUAAAUAACUAAAGCGUUUAAAAGUUAAAAAUACACAAUAGGUCUUAAACAUGUAAUAAAUCAGAUAAGUAGGCCAAUUAUAAAUACUUGUGCGAUCGUGCUAAAAUCACGGAACUCAGGAUGCCUCACACCUUCUCUCGAGUUAACAAAAUUCCUUACCUGGCGACUUGGGACACCAAAGUCAAUCCCAAGUGGCGAUUCUGAAAAUAAAUAAAAUAAUCUCAUUUCGAUUAAUGUCACUUAAAUUGAAAAAACUCCCUAUAACCCUCGGGAAAAAGGAGGUGUGACAGCUCUGGCGACUCUGCUGGGGACAUGAACCCAGAAUCUUUGGUUCAUGAUUCAGAAUUUGAGCAUAGAAUAACUGUUAUAGUUGGCUUUUAAAUAUUAUCUGAUUUUUACGUGUUCAAGCCUAAUGUGCUAAAUGUCGCUAUUUACCGCUUUGACAUUGUUUGAACUGCAUAUAAACCGUUAUAAAACCCUUCUUCUCUCUGAGUCUUCUAAAUCUUCUAGGAAGUGUACGUUGGCAUGACUUCUUUUCUGUUAGUGUCGUACCCUAAUUUAGAACAAGGUUCGGAAAAGUUGGAAAGCCGGAUGAUCUUUUGGUUAGUGAUACGCUUCCUCCCUCAGCUCGAGCUGUCCACUCGGGUAAGCCAUGUCUAGAACAAUUACUGUGAUCACCUAACUUUUGGCCAUGUUUGAAUUUAUUCCCACUUUUCACAAUCACUUCCCACUACCCCCACUUUCUCCACUUACUACCCAGUUCCCUUACACUCUCCACUCAUGCUCCCCACCUAUAUUUUCCACUCUUCCAUCACCUAAUCUCUAUUUAUAACACACGACACACACACACACAUACACACAAAAGAAGGAAAAAAAGCAUUUUUGCUUCUACAAUUUCAAGCUCCACAGAAAAGCUGAAAAAAUCAGUCUUUAAGCUCCAUAGAUCUUCAACCCAUAAGCCUCUUCUUUUGUCCCUUUUUCUCCAUAAAAAAUAUAUCUUCUUUUGCUUUGAAUAACAGCUAAAAACUUGCUCAAUAUAAGCCUAAAACACCCCUGAAGCUUCUCCACUUUUCAGUCAAUUUUGUGUUUCCAGCAAGGUUGUGCAGUUGGAGGUUAUGGUCGCUGCUCUUUGCUCUAUUAUUGAAUAACAGAAAUUCUAAAGUUUGAAUUCAAUAAAUACAAGGUCUAUUUUACUUCUCUGACAAAUUUUUAUAAUGCUACAUACUCCUCUUCCUUUAUUUGGUUAUAGUCAUGUGAAUAUUCUAUCUUUAAAUAUGAUUAUGGUUUGUUUUCUUGCCUUAUUAUUAGCUUAUAUGCUUAUAAGAUUUUGUUUAGUUGUUUGUUAAGUUGACAAUUUUUAUAACUUCUUUUUGUUGAUGAUUUCAAAUAUAGGCAUCAUUGGUUAGCCUAAAACUAAUAAAUUUUGUUCAGAUGGUUGAAUAUUGUUUCUGUCACGACCCUAACCCCGAACCCGGUCGUGAUGGCGCCUCUCGUGAAGAUGAGGCCAACCAGACCAAAAUAGAACACCUCUUUUAAACAGUUAAAUACCAUAAAUAGUUCUAAAAUAUGAUAUAAUAACUAUAAUUUGCGAAAAUAACGAUAACAACGGUAGAAACCAUCCCGACACAGCCCAAACUGGGGUGUCACAAGUCAUGAGCAACUAAUAAAUUCGGAUACCAGUCUACUAGAUACAAAAUCUGAUACAAAAGUUCAAGAACAUGAUAAUAGUAAGAUUAGGGAGGCACGGGGGCUGCAGACGCCAAUAGCUACUUCGUAGUCUCCGAAAACACUGCCUGGACUGGAAGGAUCAGCACUUAGGAGCGGACUUUGCGAUGCCUGAAUCUGCAUACACGAUGCAUGGAGUAAUGUGAGUACUCCGAACCAGUGAGUAAUAAAUAUAAAUAAUGGCUGAAAGUAAGAAAACACGUAAAGGCACAAAGCAGUUCUAUAUCAAGCAGUAAAAUCACUUAAAGCAGUAAAUCCAUGAAGAAGCCAAAUGAAAUUCCUUUAAACCUAGUAAAAUAGGUAAUUUAGUAGGAAAAUAACAAGUAGAAAUCCGCCCCUCGGGCACAGUAACAAUCACUAAGAACGGUAUCAGCCCCUCGGGCUCACUCUUAGUACAAUAUCAGCCCCUCAGGCUCACUCUCAGUACAGUAUCAGCUCCUUGGGCUUACUCUCAAAUCAUGAUGGGUACCUGCGCUCACUGUGGGGGUGCAGAUUCUGGAGGCCUCCUUACGGUCCAAGCGCUAUAUCAAGCCACCUCGUGGCGUAUAAAAGUAUCUCAGGCUCUCGGUCUCAUAUCACUCAGCAUAUCCUCACAUAUGGCCCUCAGCCUCACUCAAUCCGAAAAUCAUCACAAGCCCCUCGGGAAUUAGUAAAACAGUAGUUCUCAGCCUAAAACAUCAAUUAGAAAUAUCAUUUAAGUUUCAAAUAUGAAUAAAAGUGGCUGAGUUUGUAAAACAGUAAAUAUCAACAGGACUGAGUUCAAGUAAUAAGUCAAACAGUGAGGAAUUAAUGAUAAAAAUUCCCGAAGGGUUCAAAUAGUUGGCACGAAGACCAAAUAUGGCAAUCAACCCAAACCAUGAUGAUAACAAACAAGUUUCAGUCAAAUACACGGUAAAAUAAUCAAUCAGGACGGACCAAGUGACAAUCCCCAAUAAUAAACGACUCCACGCUCAUCAUCAAGCGCGUGUCUCACCUCAAUAUAGCACUACGAUGUGCAAUCCGGGGUUUCAAACCCUCAGGAUAUCAUAUACAAUCAUUACUCACUUCGAACCGGCUACAAUUCUAGCUCGCGAUGCCUUUUCCCCUCGAAUCGGCCUCCACACGCGUCGAAUCUAUCCAAAAUCAGAACGAAUACGCCACAAUAUGCUAAGGGAACAAAGCCCAAGCAAAAACAAUCGAAAAAUAUUAAAAAUCCCAAAAUUAGGAAAACCCGAGCCCCGGUCCCACUUCUCAAAACUCAAAACUUUUCACAUCAUUAGAUUCCUCAUCUCCCCACGAGUUCAUAUAUAUCUAAAAUACAAGAUUCGGAGUUCAAUUGACCCCUCAAAUCCUUAAUUUAAGCCCUUUUAAACUCAAGCCCUAAACCUCCAAUUUUGGUCCUUUAAUCUCUUAAAUUUAAGUCCCAAUCCAUGAAAUAUUACCAUAGAAGUGUGUUUUAGCUCCAAAAUCCUUACCUUAUCGAAUUUCUCUUGAAAUAUCUCUUCAGAAUCUCCCAAAAACUCUAAGCCCGAAGUUGAAAUGAAUAAACCCUUCAAAAAUCACGAAGAAGAAACAUAUAUACCUUCUGCCCAGACAUAACCGCAUUUGCGGUCCAAUAGCCACUUCUGCAGUACCGCUUCUGCGGUCAUUUCUCCGCAUCUGCGAAAUUUCACUUACGAAUCCACAACGCAUCUACGGUCCACUCGCCGCAUCUGCGGCUUCGCAGGUGUGGUCCUUUUCCGCAUCUGCGAUACAGGACCCCUCAACCUUCCGCUUUUGUGACCCAAACAACGCAUCUACGAGACCGCACCUGCGGUCCCCAAACCGCAGGUGCAAAAACACCAGAAGCAGCAGAAAAUCUGCAAUCACUCAACUUCCAAAAUUUCCCGUUAGCCAUCCGAAAUCACCCCGAGGCCCCUGGGACCUCAACCAAAAGCAUCGACAUGACCCAAUACCUUAUUCGAACUUGUUCCAAUUAUCAAAAGACCUCAAAUAACAUCAAAUUACCCAAAACUCAUCGAAUUCAAGCCUAAUUUGUGAGAAAUCUUCCGAAAUACGCUUUCGAUCAAAAACCCAAUCAAAUCAUGUCCGAAUGACCUGAAAUUUUGCACACACAUCACAAAUGACAUAACAAAGCCACAGCAACUCUCGGAAUUCCAUUCCGACCCUCGGAUCAAAAUCUCGCCUAUCAACCGGAAAUCGUCAAAAUACUAACUUCGCCAAUUCAAGCCUAAUUCUACACCAGACCUCCAAAACCAAUUCCGAUCACACUUCUAAGUCAUAAUUCACCUCCCGAAACUAAUUGAACUAUCAGAACUCACAUCCGAGGCCUCUAACUCAUAAGUCAACAUCUGGUUGACUUUUCCAACUUAAACCUUUUUAAAAGAAACUAAGUGUCUCGUUUCUUACCAAAUCCACUCCGAACGCAAACUUCUCAACUCAACCACAUAAAACAAAGAUAACGAAGCAUAAAAAAGCAGAACUGGGGGAAACGAAGUGGAAACGCAUGAGACGACUAGCCGGGUCAUCACAUCCUCCCAACUUAAACAAACGUUCGUCCUCGAACGAGUCAAGAAACAUAACUGAAGCCUCAAAUAGGUGAGGAUAUCUGCUCUGCAUCUCUCGCUCGGUCUCCUAGGUAGCCUCCUCCACGGACCGACCUUUCCACUGCACUUUCAUUGAAACUUUAUCUUUUGACCUCAACUUCCGAACCUGACGACCCAAAAUAGCUUUUGGCUCCACAUCAUAGGUCAAAUCAUCAUCCAACUGAACCAUGAUGAAGUCUAAAACAUGAGACGGGUCCCCAAAGUACUUUCGAAGCAUAGAAACAUGAAAUACCGGAUGCACGCUAGACAAGCUGAGUGGCAAGGCAAGCUCAUAAGACACCUCUCCAAUCCUCCUAAGCACCUCAAAAGGCCCAAUGAACCGCGGAUUCAACUUUACUUUCUUCCCAAAUCUCAUGACACCCUUUAUGGGCGAAACCUUCAGCAAGACCUUCUCACCAACCAUGUAGGACACAUCUCGAACCUUCCGGUCCUCAUAACUCUUCUGUCAUGACUGCGCUAUAAGAAGCCUCUCCUAAAUUACCUUCACCUUCUCUAAGGCAUCCUGAACCAAAUUUGUCCCCAAUAGCCUAGCCUCACCGGGCUUGAACCAACCAACUGGAGAUCUACACUGCCUCCCAUACAAAGCCUCAUAUGAAGCCAUCUGAAUACUCGACUGGUAGUUGUUGUUGUAAGCAAACUCUGCAAGCGAUAGAAACUUAUCCCAUGAACCUCCGAAAUCAAUAACACAAGCACGCAACAUGUCCUCCAAUAUCUGAAUAGUACGCUCGGACUGCCCGUCUGUCUGAGGAUGAAAAGUUGUGCUCAACUCCACCUGAGUACCCAACUCUCGCUGAAUAGACUUCCAAAACUAGAAAGUAAACUGAGCACCCCAAUCUGAAAUGAUGGAAACUGGAACACCAUGCAGCCGAACAAUCUCCCGAAUGUAUAACUCUGCUAACCGCUCUGAAGAAUAGGUAGUACACACAUGAAUGAAGUGCACAAACUUGGUCAUCCGAUCCACAAUCACCCAAAUAGCAUCAAACCGCUUCAAAAUCCGUGGAAGUCCAACAACAAAGUCCAUAAUGAUCCUUUCCCACUUACACUCAGGAAUUACCAUCUGCUGAAGCAAACCACCCGGUCUCUGAUGCUCAUAUUUCACUAGCUAACUAUUGAGACACCGAGCUACAAAUCCCACGAUAUCUUUAUUCAUUCUCCUCCACCAAUAGUGCUACCUCAAAUCCUGAUACAUCUUUGCGACACCUGGAUGAAUGGAAUACCACGAGUUAUGGGCCUCCUCCAGAAUCAACUCCCGAAGCCCAUCCACCUUGGGCACACAAAUCCGGCCCUGCAUCCUCAACACCCCAUCAUCACCGAUGGUCACAUCUCUAGCAGCAUCAUGAUGCAUUCUGUCCUUAANNNNNNNNNNNNNNNNNNNNNNNNNNNNNNNNNNNNNNNNNNNNNNNNNNNNNNNNNNNNNNNNNNNNNNNNNNNNNNNNNNNNNNNNNNNNNNNNNNNNNNNNNNNNNNNNNNNNNNNNNNNNNNNNNNNNNNNNNNNNNNNNNNNNNNNNNNNNNNNNNNNNNNNNNNNNNNNNNNNNNNNNNNNNNNNNNNNNNNNNNNNNNNNNNNNNNNNNNNNNNNNNNNNNNNNNNNNNNNNNNNNNNNNNNNNNNNNNNNNNNNNNNNNNNNNNNNNNNNNNNNNNNNNNNNNNNNNNNNNNNNNNNNNNNNNNNNNNNNNNNNNNNNNNNNNNNNNNNNNNNNNNNNNNNNNNNNNNNNNNNNNNNNNNNNNNNNNNNNNNNNNNNNNNNNNNNNNNNNNNNNNNNNNNNNNNNNNNNNNNNNNNNNNNNNNNNNNNNNNNNNNNNNNNNNNNNNNNNNNNNNNNNNNNNNNNNNNNNNNNNNNNNNNNNNNNNNNNNNNNNNNNNNNNNNNNNNNNNNNNNNNNNNNNNNNNNNNNNNNNNNNNNNNNNNNNNNNNNNNNNNNNNNNNNNNNNNNNNNNNNNNNNNNNNNNNNNNNNNNNNNNNNNNNNNNNNNNNNNNNNNNNNNNNNNNNNNNNNNNNNNNNNNNNNNNNNNNNNNNNNNNNNNNNNNNNNNNNNNNNNNNNNNNNNNNNNNNNNNNNNNNNNNNNNNNNNNNNNNNNNNNNNNNNNNNNNNNNNNNNNNNNNNNNNNNNNNNNNNNNNNNNNNNNNNNNNNNNNNNNNNNNNNNNNNNNNNNNNNNNNNNNNNNNNNNNNNNNNNNNNNNNNNNNNNNNNNNNNNNNNNNNNNNNNNNNNNNNNNNNNNNNNNNNNNNNNNNNNNNNNNNNNNNNNNNNNNNNNNNNNNNNNNNNNNNNNNNNNNNNNNNNNNNNNNNNNNNNNNNNNNNNNNNNNNNNNNNNNNNNNNNNNNNNNNNNNNNNNNNNNNNNNNNNNNNNNNNNNNNNNNNNNNNNNNNNNNNNNNNNNNNNNNNNNNNNNNNNNNNNNNNNNNNNNNNNNNNNNNNNNNNNNNNNNNNNNNNNNNNNNNNNNNNNNNNNNNNNNNNNNNNNNNNNNNNNNNNNNNNNNNNNNNNNNNNNNNNNNNNNNNNNNNNNNNNNNNNNNNNNNNNNNNNNNNNNNNNNNNNNNNNNNNNNNNNNNNNNNNNNNNNNNNNNNNNNNNNNNNNNNNNNNNNNNNNNNNNNNNNNNNNNNNNNNNNNNNNNNNNNNNNNNNNNNNNNNNNNNNNNNNNNNNNNNNNNNNNNNNNNNNNNNNNNNNNNNNNNNNNNNNNNNNNNNNNNNNNNNNNNNNNNNNNNNNNNNNNNNNNNNNNNNNNNNNNNNNNNNNNNNNNNNNNNNNNNNNNNNNNNNNNNNNNNNNNNNNNNNNNNNNNNNNNNNNNNNNNNNNNNNNNNNNNNNNNNNNNNNNNNNNNNNNNNNNNNNNNNNNNNNNNNNNNNNNNNNNNNNNNNNNNNNNNNNNNNNCACCCGACUGGGUACCGAGAUAUCCAACCUCACGAACCGAUUGGCCAAGGCCUGAACAUCAACUGCAGAGGUCUCUCCCCAAUUGGAAUUUAUGCCAAACUCCCCAUACUCACUGCCUUUCGGCCCAAAGCAUCGACCACCACAUUGGCCUUUCCCGGAUGGUACAAUAUAGUGAUAUCAUAAUCCUUAAGCAACUCCAACCAUCUCCGCUACCUCAGAUUAAGAUCCUUUUGCUUGAACAAAUUUUGAAGACUAUGAUGAUCGGUGAAUACCUCACAAGAUACACCAUACAAAUAAUACCUCCAAAUUUUCAAUGCAUGAACUAUGUCAGCCAACUCCAAAUCAUGAACGGGGUAGUUCUUCUCAUGGGGAUUCAACUGACGAGAAGCAUAAGCAAUAACUCUACCCUCCUGCAUCAAUACACAACCAAUCCCAACUCUCGAGCAUUACAAUACACGAUAUAUGAACUUGAAGCUGAUGGCAAAACCAAUACUGGAGCUGUGGUCAAAGCUGUCUUGAGCUUCUGAAAGCUCUCCUCACACUCGUCCGACCAUACAAAUGAAACACCAUUUUGAGUCAACUUGGUCAAGGGCGAUGCGAUAGAUGAGAAUCCCUGAACAAACCGGCAAUAAUAGCCUGCUAGCCAAAGAAAACUACGAAUCUCUGUGGCUGAGGACGGUCUGGGCCAACUCUGAACCGCCUCUAUCUUCUUUAGAUCAACCUGAAUACCCUCACUGGACACCACAUGCCCCAAAAAAGCCACUAAACUGAGCAAAAACUCACACUUGGAGAAUUUUGCAUAAAGCUUCUCCUCCCUCAAUCUCUGCAACACAACUCUCAAAUGCUCUGCGUCCUCCUCCUGACUAUGCGAGUAUACCAGAAUAUCAUCAAUGUUACAAUAACAAAUGAAUCUAGAUAAGGCCAAAAUACACUGUUCAUCAAAUGCAUGAAUGUUGCUGGGGCAUUGGUUAGAUCGAAAGACAUCACAAGGAACUCAUAAUGACCAUAUCUGGUACUGAAAGCACUCUUAAGAAUAUCUAAAUCCUUGAUCUUCAACUGGUGAUAACCCGAACGGAGAUCAAUCUUGUAGAACACUCUCGCUCCCUGAAGCUGGUCAAAUAAAUCAUCAAUGCGAGGCAAAGGAUACUUGUAGUUAAUUGUUACUUUGUUCAAUUGCCUAUAAUCAAUGCACAUUCUCAUGGUGCCAUCCUUCGUCUUCACAAACAGAAUGGGUGCACCUCAGGGUGACACACUAGGCCGAAUGAACCCAUUAUCUAGGAGUUCCUGAAGUUGUUCCUUCAACUCCUUCAACUCUGCUGGUGUUAUAUGAUAUAAUGGAAUAGAAAUGGGCUGAGUGCCCGGCACCAGGUAGAUACCAGAAUCGAUAUCCCUAUCCAGUGGCAUGCUCGGUAGGUCUGUAGGAAAAACAUCGGAAAAAUGCCUCACAAUUGGAAGAGAAUCAAUGUUAGGAGUCUCAGCUCCUACAUACCUAACAAACGCUAAAUAUGAAAGGCAACCCUUCCCAACCAUACGCUGGGCAUUCAAGAAAGAUAUCACUCUACUAGGGAUAUAAUCAGUCACACCAUGCCACUCGAUCUGUGGUACACCCGGCAUAGCCAAAGUGACUGUCUUAGCAUGACAGUCUAGAAUAGCACGACACGGAGUAACCAGUCCAUGCCCAAAAUGACAUCAAAAUCCACCAUGCUCAAUAGCAAUAGAUCCACUCGGGUCUCCAGACCCCCAAUAGUAACCACACAUGAUCAGUACACACGUUUUAUAACAAUAGUAUCCCCACCGGGGUAGAUACAUGAACAGGUAAAGCAAGAAACUCACAGGGCAUACCCAGAUAACGAGCAAAGUAUGAUGACACAUAAGAAAAGGUUGAACCAGGAUCAAAUAACACAAAGGCAUCUCUAUGGCAGACUGAAACAAUACCUGUAAUGACAACGUUUGAAGAAAUAGCGUUUGGCCUGCCUGGAAGUACAUAGAAAUGGGCCUGACCGCCCACUAAUCGACCUCCCCCUUUGGGGCGACCCCUGACUGCCUUACCUCCACCCCUAGUUGGCUGGGCGGGUGGUGAAGUAGUUAGAGCAGAAGUCGAUGGCUGACCCCUCUACUAGGACGAACUAGCAACACGAUGAUGAUACUGCCUCCACACAUGCCCAAACUCUCCACACUCAAAACAACUCCCAAGUGCUGGAGAAGGGGACUGAAGGGUACCCCUCGACUGGAGUGACUAGCUGAUGUACUCAGCAUAGAAGAACCCUGAGAUGACGGAGCACGGGAUAAACUCUGAGUUGGAAGGGCACUAAGUGAUGACUGGCCUACUGAGUACCGUGAUAACCAUGACCCGAAGAUGCCCUACGAUAACUUGGGCGAGCUGGCUGAGCAGACCUGAAUGAACGACCUCUGCCAUGCUGAAACUGGCCCCUUAAAGGAGCACCACUAUAACUGCCCGAUCCUCGAGGCCUCUUGGCCUCCCUCUACUCUCGAUCCUGACGGCGGACCGUCUCAAUCUCGCGAGCGAUAUCAACCACCUCAUCGAACGUAGCACCCAACACUCUCUCUAUGGUCAUAAGAAUACAGAGGUGAUAGUUAAGGCCAUUAACAAAUCUCCUGAUCCUCUCAAGAUCUAUCGGAACCAUCCAUAUAGCAUGACGAGCCAACUCAAAAAACCUCGACUCAUACUGUGACACAGUCAUAUCCCCUUGUCGCAACCACUCAAACUGUAUAUGCAGCUCCUCUCUACGAGACUGCGGCACAUACUUCUCCAAGAAGAGAACAGAGAACUCAUGCCAAGUGAGGGGCGCUACUUCCACAGGCCUACGCCUCUCAUACGCCUCCCACCAAGUGAAGGCAGCCCCAGAAAACUGGAAGGUAGUAAAUGCCACACCACUAGACUCAAGAAUCCAUGUUGUACGGAGCAUCCGCUGACACUUAUCUUGAAAACCCUGGGCAUCCUCGCCCUCGACACCACUGAAUGAUGGAGGCUGGAGUCUACCAAACCUCUCAAGACGACGCUGCUCAUCAUCUGGCAUAACUGGCACAACAAACUCCUGAGCUAGUGCAACUGGCUGGGCAGGAGGUGCCCCAGUGUCUAAAGUCCCUGCACUACUUGCUCAGGUGUACGAGCAGCGGGGGUUUGAUUGCCUCCCCCGGCCAGUGCAAACUGAUAAGAUCUGUUCCAAGGCCUCCUGAAGACCCGGAAUCACAAUGGGCACAACUGGUUUGAUUGCCAGUGCAGCGGGGGUUUGAUUGCCUCCCCUGGGCCCAUUUCACGAAACUCAGAACUUUUCACAUCAUUAGAUUCCUUGUCUCCCCAUGAGUUCAUAUAUAUCAAAAACACAAUAAUUGGAGUUCAAUUGACCCCUCAAAUCCUUAAUUUAAGCCCUCUUAAACUCAAGCCCUAAACCUCCAAUUUUAGUCCUUUAAUCUCUUAAAUUUCAGUCCCAAUCCAUGAAAUAUUACCAUAGAAGUGUGUUUUAGGUCCAAAAUCCUUACCUUAUCGAAGUUCUCUUGAAAUCUCUCUUCAGAAUCACCCAAAAACUCUAAGUCCGAAGUUGAAAUGAAUAAACCCUUCAAAAAUCGCGAAGAAGAAACAUAUAUACCUUAUGCCCAGACAUAACCACAGAUGCGGUCCAAUAGCCAUUAAUGCGGUACCGCUUCUGCGGUCAUUUCUUCGCAUCUGCGGAAUUUCACUUACGGAUCCACAACACAUCUGCGGUCCACUCGUCGCAUCUGCGGCUUCGCAGGUGCGGUCCCUUUUCCGCAUCUGCAAUACCAGGCCCCUUUCAGCCUUCCACUUCUGCAACCCAAACAACGCAUCUGCGAGACCACACAUGUGGUCCCUAAACCGCAGGUGCGAAAACACCAGAAGCAACAGAAAAUCUGCAAUCACUCAAGUUCCAAAACUUCCCGUUAGUCAUCCGAAAUCACCCCGAGGCCCCCGGGACCUCAACCAAAAGCACUGACAUGACCCAAUACCUUAUUCGAACUUGUUCCAAUUAUCAGAACACCUCAAAUAAUAUCAAAUUACCCAAAACCCAUCAAAUUCAAGCCUAUUUUUUGAGAAAUCUUCUGAAAUACACUUUCGAUCAAAAACCCAAUCAAACCACAUCCGAAUGACCUGAUAUUUUGUACACACAUCAGAAAAUUACAUAACAAAGCCACAGCAACUCUCGAAAUUCCAUCCCGAUCCUCGGAUCAAAAUCUCGCCUAUAAAUCGGAAAUCGCCAAAAUACUAACUUCGUCAAUUCAAGCCUAAUUCUACACCAGACCUCCAAAACCAAUUCUGAUCACACUCCUAAGUAAUAAAUAACAUCCCGAAGCUAACUGAACCGUCAGAACUCACAUCCGAGCCCUCUAACUCAUAAGUCAACAUCCGGUUGAUUUUUCCAACUUAAAAUUUCUUAAAAGAGACUAAGUGUCUCAUUUCUUACCAAAUCCACUCCGAACACAAACUUCUCAACUCUAUCAUAUAAAACACAGAUAACGAAGCAUAAAGAAGCAAAAAAAGGGGAAACAGAGCAUAAACUCAUGAGACGACUGGUCGGGUCGUCACAAUUUCUUGGUUCUAUGUUUAUGUCAGAUUUUUCAUGCCAAUUGCUUGGAAUGAGUUAUGUUGCCUUCGUCCUAUUGCAUCUUUUUUAAUUAAUUUUUGUCACAUUGUGGCAGGUUUUGGUAUUGUCCAUAUUUAGAGAAGAUUAAUUCACUUUGUUUUAUGUUUACGUGAGAUUACAACUCCAUAUCUAUAAUUCACGUGAGCAAUUAACUCGUUAAGUUAUAAAUAAAUCAUAGUAGUUUGCUAAUAUUUAAAGAACUAAUUACAACUCCAUAUUUAUAAUUCGACCUUACAACAAUUUUAAAAUAAUUUCAGUAAAAAAUCUUAUAAACAUUCGUAGCUUUCUUUAGGCGCGAUUAAUAAAUCCUCGUGGUUAUUAGUACGGUUCCCGUGGCAUGGUCACAAUACUUAAAUCCCAAUUCGGGUGUGCAUUUCAUGUGACCCGACCACAACUUCGAACAAUAUUAAAAUAAACAUGUUGUAAAUUGCGGGUGCAUUUCAUGCGCCGCAAUUUUCGAUGUGUACCAAAACAAACAAGUGUACGAUAAUCGUAACUUGUUCCAGAAUAAUUUCAUAAAUAAUUAAAAGCGGUCAAAAGCUAAAAAUGCAUAAUAGUUUAAAAACGUGUAGUAAAUCAGAUAAUAUGCCAAUUAAUAAUAGUUUAAGCGAUCGUGCUAGAACCACGGAACCCGAGAAUGCCUAACACAUUCUCCCAGGAUAACAGAAUUCCUUAUCUAGAAUUUCUGGUUCGCAGACUUUUAAAUAAAGUCGAAGAUUUCCUCGAUUUGGGAUUUAAAAAUGAAUCGGUGACUUGGAACACCAAAUAAACUAUUCCAAGUGGCGACUCUUAUUAAAUAAAUAAAAUAAUUCUAUUACGAUUAAUGUCACUUUUAUUGGAAAAACUCCUUGGUAUACCUUUGCGGGUGUAAAAAGGAGGUGUGACAGCUCUGGCGACUAUACUAGGGAACAAAACCCAGAACUUUGGUUCAGGGUUCAAGAAUUCAAGCUUAGAAUAACUGUUAUAGUUGGCUUGUUUUUAUCUGAUUUUUUUACAUGUUGAGCCUAAUGUGCUAAUUGCCGCUUUUUAACGCUUUGACAUUGUUUGGACUGUAUAUAAAUUUCUACGAAAUCCUCCUCUCUCUGAGUCUUCUAAAUAAUCUGGGAAGUGUGCACUUCGUGUAACUUUUUUUCUGUUAGAGUCAUAUCCCAAUUUUAGAACGAGGUUCGGAAAAGUUGCAAACCCGGUGAAGCUUCUGUAUUCCCGAUACGCUGUCCCUCCCCCCUCCGACUCGAGCUAUCCGCUCGGGUAAGCUAGGUCUAGAACAAUACAUCCAGGGUUUUAAACCUAGUAUAACAAAGCCUCAUGCCGGAUCCCAUGUAUGAACGUUUGUUUGUAUCACGUGCAUUUGACUUUGGGGACUCAACACAAGGGUUGGUCCGCCUAGAACAGGUGUACCCAAAUUAAAAAAGACCAUCCUGAUGCAUCUUACGUGCUACUUGCGCAUCUGUUUGUUUCGGCUUGCAUGUUGACCGUCUUCUAGAAUAGGGAAAGAAAAUCAAAACAAAGUGAGAGGUAGGUAUUUAGAAAAUUCUAAAACUCUGCCGAAAUUCUGAAAAAGGGGUCAUUUCAUAAUUGAGCCAAUAUUUUUCAAGUGUCGCGUUUCCCUUGUUCCGUCAAAACUGACCGAACUACACGAGUUUGAUUCUCAUCGGAUGUGAGAUACAUAGGCAAACCUCAUCGGUUCCGACCCCAAUUUUCAAAAAUCCAAAAAUAUUUUCCUUUAGAAAAUUCAAAACAAAAAAAAGAAAGUUUUUUUAAAAACUCAAAGUACAUUCCUUCUUUCUGGAGUAUUUCAUACGGGUUUUCUUUGUUUUGAAGUAUUUUUCCAAAAAAUUAAAAAAUCAAUCAAAUAAAAAGAAUCCAAAAAAAAAAGAAAAUAUUCUUUUCCUUCUUUAAAAGUAUUUCUUUCGUAAAUGUCAAAAAAUAAAAAAUUUGAAAAUUGAAGUCCAAAAAUAUUUUUCUUUUCAUUAGAAGUAUUUUUGUAAAUAAAUACAAAACUCAGAAAUUCAAAACAUUUUCUUAAAAGCCCCUCUUUCGAAAAUUAAGAGGCAACAUCCAAAAUCCAAAAAUAUAAAUAUUUUCUUUCUUCUUUAGAAAAUAGAAAACAAUUAAACAUUUAAACGAAAAUAUUUUCUUUUUACUUUUAAAAAUCCCAAAGUUCCAAUCAAAAGAAAAGGAAUCUUUAGAAGUCUUUCUUUCAAAAAUAAAAGAAAAAUCAAAAUCAAAAAAUCAAAAAAAAAUAUUUCCUUUCUUCUUUUAAAGCAUUUUUUUAGAAAAUUCCAAAAGAAAUUUUUAAAAAAAUCAAUCAAAAAUCAAAAAUAUUUUUCUUUUGCCUUAAAACUUUCAUGGUCUGAAUUCUAUAAAAAGUAAAAAAAGGUUAGUUUAUUUACUCCAUUCCCAAUCUCCUCGAACUACGCAAGAUCUGAUUCAUGCGACGUUAUGAUACAUAGGCAGUCCCCAUUGGAUUUGAUCAUAGCCAAAAAUAAAUUGAGUGAAGAAUAAACUGGAAAAAAAAGAAGAAAAACAAUUGAGUGAAAAAGAAAGAAAGAGGAAAAAAAAGAGCGACGUAAAAUAAAAGAGUGAAAAAGAAAAGAAAAGAGAGUGCCAAAAAUAAAAGAGCGGCAAAAACGAAAUGAAAAAAGAAAAAUAAUCAAGAGUGAUUAAAGAGAGACAAAAAUAAAAUAAAAGAGGUACAUACUGAAAGAGUUAGUUAAGGUCGGGAUGAAACAUGCAACCGUUCAAAAACACGGUAGUAGCGUUUAACUGUUAGGUGCAUUACAUUCCAAUGUGCGAUUUCCUAUAUGUUAAAUGUUUUAAAACUAACAAGGUUGUUGAAUGUGCAAAGAAGCCAGGUUUUGGUGGUUGUUUUUAUUGGUAGUCUAGCCUCCCCUCCUUCACAAGAUUCAAAGGCACAGAUGGCCUCCACAAGCAAUCUACUAAUCAUCGGUCCGGAGGAUAGCACGCCAUCGGCUAUUCUGCAGCUAGAAUCAGCAGCUGCUGAAGAGAAUAAGAUGUUGUGUGUCCUCAUAUUCGAAAUGUGGGACGCCUAGUCUAAUGGUAGUGAACCGCCAAGUGCAUUCCCUGGGUUCCAUGAAUUGAUCCCCAGGUUAGGUGAGGUUACCAACGCCCCUGUGCCAACCCCGCUCAUCCCAUGCGGGCACCCUCCAUUUCCCUCCAAUGAUCCUGGCAUGCCUUCUGUGGUUCACCCCCAGGCACCGGCUUCAAGGGUACCUCCUCAAAUGUUCAUCUUUCAGGGUCCACAGCUUUAACUAGAAAUAACAUAUAUGACCACGUACUCUUUUACUCAACCUCCGCAAUAUGAUCUCUCGGUGGAACAAGAAAUAGUUGUUAAAAAUCCCGAGCAAGAGAAAAUGGCUCGGAAGAUGAAGAGCCUGGAACAAAGCCUGAAAAGCAUACAAGGUCUGAGUGGCCAAAAGAGUGUCUCAUAUUCUGACCUCUGUAUGUUUCCCCAUGUCCACUUGCCAGCUGGCUUCAAGAUGCCAAAAUUUGAAAGUACGACGGGCAUGGAGACCCGAUCGCUCACCUGAAACGAUAUUGUAACCAGUUGAGAGGCAUUGUUGGAUAAGAGAUUAUGCUAAUGGCUUGUUUUGGGGAAGGCCUCACCAGAAUUGCAUCUGAGUGGUAUACAGAUCAAGAAAUUACUCAUUGGCACGUGUGGGAUGAUAUGGUUUGAGAUUUUGUCGGCCAGUUCCAGUAUAAUGUGGGCAUCGCUCCCGACAGAAAUACUUUGUCCAAUUUAAAAAUGAAAACCGCGGAAAUCUUCCGCGAAUAUGCUGUCAAAUGGCAUGAGCAAGCUGUCAGGGUAAAGCCUCCAAUGGAACAAAUUGAAAUGGUCAUUGUCUUUCUAUAGGCCUAAGAAACGGACUACUUCCAUAACAUGAUGUCUGCUAUGGGUAAGUCGUUCGUUAAGGCUGUCAAAAUUGGGGAAAUGGUUGAAAAUGGGUCGAAGUUUGAGUCAUGCUGCUUUUAAGGCCACAUCACAGGCUGCUCAGAAUGGUUCGGAGGGUUUGAUGAACAAUAAUGGAAGUGAAGUGAGCCAUGAUGGCAUCCAACUCGAAUGGGGCCCGAAGGUCAUUCAGCCAAUCAUAUGUGCUUCCUAUGAUCCCACCACACUAUUAUCCCCUUCAAGAUGAUGCUUAUGCCGUACAUCGCCUCCCUAUGCGGUGAUGAACGCACAACCUUACCCGCGGCCACAACAUUAUCCACAAAAUCGAGCUCCACCUCCCAGAAAUGCCCAUCCUUACCAAGCUCUAUAUAAUCCUCAACCAAAUGAUCCCCAAUACAAUCCUCGCCCAAGAGAGCCUUUCAGAAAGAAUCAGUUCACCCCUAUUGGUGAAUCGUAUUCGAGCUUGUUCCAAAAGCUAAUCAAGCUAAAUCUAUUGCAACCAAUGGCCCCGAACUGGCCGAACCCCGAGUCCCCCUCGCACCGAGCUGAUGCUAUAUGUGAAUACCACUCUGGAGCAGUGGGACAUAGUACAGAGGAUUGUUGGACCCUCACAAAGGCAGUUGAAGAUUUGAUUGAAGCUGAAAGGAUUGCUUUUCAGGAUGAAGAAGCUCUUGAUGCGAUGAACAAUCUGUUACCUGCCUACAACAAUGGGCCAAUAGUCAGAAUGAUUUUUGAAGAUGAGGAAUUUGAUCCAGCACUAAAGGCCAUUACAGCCAUUGCUGAUACAGAAGAAAAGCAGAAAAAUGAUUGCCAUGCUUGAAAGUUCUCCAUCAGACGGGAGUCUCGGUAGCCAGUCUUGCUAUCCUUUAUGCAUCCGGAUUAUCUCAGGGUGUGAUCCGCAUGUUUUACUUUAUUGUCUUACUUUCAAAUGUAAACCCUUCUAUCUUCAAAAAUUGAAAAAAAAAAUCAAGAAUAAAAAAAAUCAAAUGAAAUUAAUAUUUCAUUGUCUAGGAAUGUCUCUUUUCUUAAUCUUGUCAUUUUCUUAUUCUCUUUUUAGUUCUGUUAAAUGCAGAUUUGAAUAACAUGACAUGAUUGCGGACUUCAUGCCCAGAUCCUAAAAUGUUGUCAGACUUCGAAAUAAUGAAUCAAGAAUUAGAUUGCAAUGAAGAUAAGCUUAUGGAAAUAAAACAAAAAGUUGGAACGGCUGAAGGAAAAUUGGUUCUAGAUUGGAAAGGUCCAUACAUUGCCACAAGAGUACUGCUAAAAAAGUGCAUUGUACUUGGGACACAUCGAAGGAAAUGUCCCUGAAACAACUGUCAAUGCAAAUGCAGUCAAAAGGUACUAUGUUGGAUUCUCUAUAUAGCAUUAAUGUUCUCCGGUUGGAAUGACGAAGGCUUUCAUUCUCGCUACCUAAACACUUUAACCCUUAGAGUUGGUUACUCUUAUUUGAUUAACCUCUUUGGAACUUGAAAGUGUUAUUGAAAAAAAAAUGAAAAAAAAUAAAAAAAGGAAGAAAAAGAAAGAUACAAAAGAAAAAGGGGGAAGAAAAGGCAAAAAAAAAGAAAUGAAAAAAUUUAAAAAAAAAAGAGGAAAAAAAGGAAAGGAAAAAGAAAGAUAAAACAAAACAAUACAGAAAAACAAAAGAAAAAUCAAAAACAAAUUUCUUGAACUACGUUUGAUUUGAUUCCGAAAGGAUAUGUAGGCAACCUCUCUUUGGGGUUCAGUCACACCAAAAUAAAAAUCAAAAUUCCCCUAAGGUGAAACUGGGGCAAAAUGUUAUAAUGGUUCGGCGAUGGUUUCGUCCGAAAGGUUCCAAAGUUGUAACUUAAUCCCAAAUCCUUUUUACCUCAAAACCCUGUUCAAGUCCUUCUGAUCAAUCGGCAAAGAGGUUCAAAAUGGGAAGAUAAAGUUACUUGGAUCUAGUACAACAAAAUGAGAGAAAUAAAAUGAGAGAGUCUUAUUGGUGAAAACCCACAUGGGCACCGUAAGGCAAUGGUAAGCAGAGAAAUGAAAUGAUAGAGUCUAAUUGGUGAAAACCCAUACGGGCACCGUGAGGCGGCAGUAAGUAAAGAAAUCAAAAUUAGAGAGUCUUAUUAGAAAACCCACACGGGCACUAUAAGGCGAUGGUGAGAAGAGAAAUAAGAAAGGUCAGAUUGUGAAAACCCGUAAAGGGCACCCCUGAUCGAAAAGAGGAUCCUCACAGCCAUUAGCACCGACAGGGUCCUGGCAAGGUUCCUCAAUUUUAAGGCAAAAGUUGUGAUGAAUUUCUAAGAGUCGGAUGGUUUACACAGAUCAAACAUCCAGUCCAAAAGGUAUGUCAUGUUCAUUAAAGUCCGCAUGUACCCCAGAUAAGUCCUUCUUUUCUUUCCCCUAAAGGGACACUCCUUGUUUUAAACUCAUUCUCCAUUCCAUUAUUUGCUAUCGUUGAAUCUCUUUUGGUCUAACUCUAUUCCGAAACUGAGACAAAGAAGGGAUGAUAAGACUGAUUUACAGGGUUCUCAUUCGACACGAGCUAAUGUGCAAUGAGGCACCCAACCUCGUCAGGGGCAUCAAGUCGACUUCGACCGGCCAUGUUGGCUGAUGUUUCGAAAUUGAAAACUCUUGGAAGUUGAAAAUGUUGAGUCCCACGGGGCUAACAGUCUCGGUAAAGAUUUGAAAAAGCCAAGGUACCCCAAAUGCUCUGAAAUUGCAGUUAGAAGAAAGAAGCCAGAAAUGAAAGGCAUAUAAAGGCGAAAUAAAGUUGAAAAAGGCUAAGUCACACGCGACUAGAAGUUGCAGCAAGUUUGAGGAGCCAAAAGCUCCCCAAUGCUCUGAAUGGUUAAAAACAAAAAAAGAAAAAAAAAAGAAAAAAAACAACAAGUCAAAAGUGAAAGGCCUACGAAGGCAAAAUAAAGUCGCAAAGGUUGAGUUCCACCGACCAAUCGCCAUGGCAAAGUCUGGAAAACCCAGAGGUUCUCCAGGGACUGAAAUGAAAUCGGUCCUCAGGGAACAAGCAGUUGCAGUUGGGAUCUUCAUCAAAGAAGCGGGGUCGAGAUCAAGUGAUUGAAAAAAUCAAGGCCACAAAACCAACCACCGUUUCAAGCUAACAAUUGUUCUUUGUUUGAAAAUAUGAAAUAGGUGCAAUCCAAAGAAACCUUGCAAGAAGCAGGUGCAACCAAAAAGAAACUACACAAGGGCUAGAAAUAGCUUUGCAGCAAUAAUCAAUCCAAAAGGGGAGUCUCCUCCGAAUUCUUUCCUCCAUUUUUACUCAUUUUCUUAAAACAAAAAAUAAGAAGAAAAAUUCAAAAGUAUGGUAGCCUAGGGUCCCCACUCCCUAAUCUGCUUUUCCAACAUUCGGGUCUCCACUCCCUAGUUGAUUUUAUUUUAGGCAUAGGGUCUCCACUACCUACUCUAUUUUUCCAACAUAGGGUCUCAACUCCCUAGUCGUUUUUCUAACAUAGGGUCUCUACUCCCUAGUUGAAGUUAUUUUAGACAUACGGUCUCCACUCCCUAGUCUGCUUUUCCAAUAUAAGGUCUACACUCCCUAGUUGAAGUUAUUUUAGACAUAGGGUCUCUACUCCCUAGUCGCUUUUCCAACAUAGGGUCUUCACUCCCUAGUUGAUUUUAUAUUAGGAAUAGGGUCUCCAUUCCCUAGUAUGAUUUUCCAACAUAGGGUCUUCACUCCCUAGUUGAAUUUACUUUAGACAUAGGAUCUUCACUCCCUAGUCUGCCUUUCCAACAUAAGGUCUCCACUCCCUAAUUGAAUUUACUUUAGACAUAGGGUCUCCACUCCCUAGACUGUUUUUCAAACAUUUGGUCUCCACUCCCUAGUUGAAUUUUAUUUUUAGUACAUAGGGUCGUCCCACUCCCCAGUCACUUUUACAACAUAGGGUCUCCACUUCUUAGUUGAAUUUAUUUUAGAUAUAGGGUCUCCACUCCCUAGUCACUUUUCCAACAUAGGGUCUCCAUUCCCUAGUUGAAUUUAUUUUAAACAUAGGGUCUCCACUCCCUAGUCACUUUUCCAACAUAGGGUCUCCACUCCCUAGUCUCUUUUCCAACAUAAGGCCUCCACUCCCUGGUUGAUUUCAUUAUAGAUAUAGGGCUCCACUUCCUAAUCUCUUUCCCAAAGAUAGACAAUCCUGAUUUUAUUGUUUUCAAUAAAGAAAUAGUUUAGAUUUUUGUUACGAAGAACUUACAAAAUUUUCCUAGUGCAAACUGGGGCAGAAAAUUUCGUUCUUUUGUUUGCUUUGGUGCUUGAUCAGGUUUUUACCUUGAGGCACAAGUUUUGAGGCAACCAAAAGAAGAGGUCUCGAUUCAAAUAAAAGAAACGAAAAAUAAGGAAAAGAAGUGAAUUCAAAGUGCAGAAGUGGAGAAAAGAUGUGGACUGCUCAAGACAUAGUUGAAGUCACAAGCUCUGCAUGUCCCGUCUUGAUCCGAAAAGCUGAAGAAGAAUGAACCAGCGGUUGCAACUAAUGAGCAUCAAGAUUCAGAUCAGAGUCUGUAGGAAAAACCAUCCAAGACUCGAGAUCAACCUUCAGAAGACUCAUAGAUAGGAAUCUUGUAACUAAUAACUCAUAGGCUUGUUUAGUUCCUGUUUAUUUUGAUGUAAUAACAGGGCCAUGGACCGGAGCCUCAACGGAACCUUGCUCAACUCUCAAGCUCAUCAUUCCAUCAUUUUUCCUGAACUACACGCGACCUGAUUCCUUUAUAGCCUGGGAUAUGUAGGUUGUCCAAAACCAGGACUCCGUUGUACCCUAUCUUUUAUUUCUUUUCCCUUUUGAAUAAUGGUAUGGCCAAAAAUUAGUCAUAUCGCUCAUCUUUUCUUUGCCGAAAAACUCUUCAUGUUUCCAAGCCAAGAGGGGCAUGCUGUGAUCACCUAAUUUUUGACCAUGUUUGAAUAUAUUCCUACUUUUCACACUCACUUCCCACUUCCCCCACUUUCUUCACUUACUAUCCAUUUCCCCCACUCUCUCCACUCAUGUUCCCCACAUAUAUUCCUCACUCUUCCAUCACCUAAUAUCUACUUAUAACAUACGACACACACACACACAAAAAGAAGGAAAAAGCAAAAAAAAAAAAGGCAUUUUUGCUUCUACAACUUCAAGCUCCACAGAAAAGCUGAAAAAAUCAGCCUUUAAGCUCCAUAGAUCUCCAACCCAUAAGCCUCUUCUUUUGUCCCUUUUUGUCCAUAAAAAAUAAAGCUUCUUUUGCUUACGUGCUAAAUUUCAGCCUAAAACACCCCUGAAGCUUCUCCACUUUUCAGUCAAUUUUGUGUUUCCGACAAGGUUGUGCAGUUGGAGGUUGUGGUCGCUGCUCUUGGCUCGAUUAUUGAAUAACAUAAAUUUUAAAGUUUGAAUUCAAUCAAUACAAGGUCUAUUUUACUUCUUUGACAAAUUUUUAUAAUGCUAUGUACUCCUCUUCCUUUCUUUGUUUAUAGUCAUGUGAAUAUUCUAUCUUUAAAUGUGAUUAUGGUUUGUUUUAUUGCCUUAUUAUUAGCUUAUAUGCCUAUAAGAUUUUGUUUAGUUGUUUGUUAAGUUGACAAUUUUUAUAACUUCUGUUUGUUGAAGAAUUCAAAUAUAGGCUUCAUUGGUUAGCGUAAAACUAAUAAAUUUUGUUCAGAUUGUUGAAUAUUAUUUCUUGGUUCUAUGUUUAUGUUCGAUUUGUCAUGCCAAUUGCUUGGAAUGAGUUAUGUUGCCUUCGUCCUAUUGCUUUUUUUUAAUUAUUUUUUGUCACAUUGUGGCAGGUUUUUUGUAUUGUCCAUAUUUAGAGAAGAUUAAUUCACUUUGUUUUAUGUUUACGUGAGAUUACAACUCCAUAUCUAUUAUUCACGUGAGCAAUCAACUCGUUAAGUUAUAAAUAAUUUAUAGUAGUUUGCUAAUAUUUAAAGAGCUAAUUACAACUCUAUAUCUAUAAUUCACGACCUUACAACAAUUUCAAAAUAAUUUGAGUAAAUAAUCUUAUAAACAUUCGUAGCUCUCUUUAGGUGCGAUUAAUAAAUCCUGGUGGCUAUGGGUACGGUUCCCGUGACAUGGUCACAAUACUUAAAUCCCAAUUCGGAUGUGCAUUUCAUGUGACCCGACCACAACUUCGAACAAUAUUAAAAUAAACAUGUCGUAAAUUGCGGGUGCCUUUUAUGUGACGCAAUUUUCGAUGUGUACCAAAACAAAAAAGUGUACGACAAUCGUAACUUGUUCCAGAAUAAUUCCAUAAAUAAUUAAAAGUGGUCAAAAGCCAAAAAUGCAUAAUAGUUUUAAAAUGUGUAGUAAAUCAGAUAAUAUGCCAAUUAAUAAUAGUCUAAGCGAUCGUGCUAGAACCACGAAACCCGAGAAUGCCUAACACCUUCUCCCAGGUUAACAAAAUUCCUUAUCUAGAAUUUCUGGUUCGCAGACUUUUAAAUAAAGUCGAAGAUUUCCUCGAUUUGGGAUUUAAAUAUAAACCGGUGACUUGGAACACCAAAUAAAUUAUUCCAAGUUGCGAUUCUGAUUAAAUAAAUAAAAUAAUCCCAUUUUGAUUAAUGUCACUUUAAUUGAAAAAGCUCCUUGGUAUACCUUUGCGGGUGUAAAAAGGAGGUGUGACAAAUACACCCAGGUUUUAAACCUAGACUAAUAUAACCUCAUGCCGGAUCCCUAGUAGGUAAAUUUAUUUGCAUCACGUGCAUCUGACUUUGGGGACUCAACACAAGGGUUGGGUCUGUCUAGGACAUGUGUACCCAAAUUAAAAAGACCAUCCUGAUGCAUCUUACGUACUACUUGUGCAGUUGUUUGUUUCGGUUUGCAUGUUGACUGGCUUCUAUAAUAGGUAAAGAAAAAAAAAUCAAAAAAAAUAAGAGAGUAAGAGUAGGUAUUUGAAAUCCGAAACUCUGCCAAAAUUUUGAAAAAAUAGAGAAAAGAAAUAAAGUCAUUUCAAAAUAAAUCAUAUUACCCUGUUGCGUCGAAAUUUACCGAACUACGUAGGUCUGAUUCUCACCAGAUGUGAGAUACGUAGGCAAACCUCAUCGGUUCCGACCUCAAUUUUUAAAAAAUUAAAAAAAAUCCUUCAAUUCCUUCUUUAGAAGCAUUUCCUUAGAAAAUUCAAAAAUAAAUAAAACAAAGAUUUUUAAACUAAAAAAAUUAGUUUCCUUCGAAAAAAAAGAAAUAAAAAUAAGAAUCAAUCAAAAAUCAAAAUCCAAAAUAUGGAUUUCCUUUUAUUUAGAAGUAUUUUUCCCAAAAAUUCAAAAAACAUCAGAAAAAAAGAAUCCAAAAAAAAUAUUCUCUUCCUUCUUUAAAAGUCUUUCUUUCGUAAGUGUCAUAAAAAUUGAAAAAUUGAAGUCCAAAAAUAUUUUUUUUUCUUUAGAAAUACUUUGUAAAUUUAAAAACAAAAAAAAAACUCAAAAAUCCGAAAUAUUUUCUUAAAAGUCCCACUUUCGAAAAUUAAGAGGAAACAUCCAAAAUCCAAAAAUAUUUUCUUUCUUCUUUAGAAAAUGAAAACGAAUCAAAAUAUUUUCUUUCUUCUUUUGAAAUUCCCAAAGAUUCAAAACAAAAGAAAAGGAAUUUGUAGAAAUCUUUCUUUCAAAAAAAAAGAAAAAAAAUUCAAAAUUCAAUAUCUAAAAUAUUUUACCUCUUUAGGAACUUUUGUAAUAUGAUUUGCAUAUAAAAAAUGUUGAAUAAAUUAGUGAAAAGAAAAGAAAAGAGAGAUUAGUUUAUUUUCUUUAUUCCUAAUCUUUCUGAACUAUACAAGAUCUGAUUCAUGCGGCAUCAUGAUACGUAGGCAAUCCCCAUAGAAUUCGAUCAUAGCCAUAAAAUUAAUUGAAUAAAAAAUAAAUUGAAAAAAAUUGAGUGAAAAAGAAAGAAAAGAGCGAUAAAACAAAAAAUAAAAGAGAAAAAGAAAGUGCCAAAAAAUAAAAGAGCGGCAAAGACAAAAUGAGAAAAUCUGGAGUGAUUAAAGAGAGGCAGAAAUGAAAGAAAAAUGGUAUAGAGUGAAAAAGGGUUAGUUAAGGCCGAGAUGAAACAUGCAACCGAUCAAGCACAUGGUAGAAGCUUUUAACUAUCUAGGUGCAUUGCAUCCCAACGUGCGAUUCCCUAUCUAUUAAGCGUCUCAAAACUAACAAGGUUGUUGAGUGUACAAAUAAGUCAGGUUCUGUUCAGGUGGUUGGUUUUAUUUGGCAGUCUGGUUUCUCAUUCUUACUUCACAAAAUCCAAAGGAAAGGUUCGUAUGGCCUCCGAAAGUCAUCUACCAAUUAUAAAUCCUGAGGAUAACCCAGCAUCGGCUAUUCCACAACCAAAAUCAACAGCUGCUGAAGAGAAUAGGAUGUUGCAUCUCCGCAUAUUGGAAAUGUGUGGGACGCCUGGUCUAAUGGUAGGGAACCGCCAAGUGCAAUCCCUGGGAUCCCUGAGUUGAUCCCCAGGUCAGGAGAGACCACCAACACCCCUGUGCCCAACCCAUUCAUCCCGUGCGGGUACCCUCCAAUGCUAUGUAACGGUCCCGGAAUGCCUUCUUUAGUUUGCCCCCAGGUGCCGGCUUCAAGGGCACCGCCAACAAUGUUCUCUGCAGCACCAGUCUGCACCACAGCACAACGAACUUUACCAUGGCCGUAUGUUGAGCCUCCAAUGUUCACCUUUCAGGGUUCACAACUUCAACCAGAAAUAACAUAUGUGACCCCUUACUCCUUCACUCAACCUUCGUAAUAUGAUCUCUGAGUGGAUCAAGAAAAGGUUGUUAAAAAUCCCGGGCAAGAGAAAAUGGCUCGGAAGAUGAAGAGCCUCGAACAAAGCAUGAAAAACAUGUAAGGUCUGAGUGGCCAAAAGAGUGUCUCAUACUCUGACCUAUGUAUGUUUCCCCAUGUCCACUUGCCAGCUGGCUUCAAGAUGCCAAAAUUUGAAAAGUACGCUGGCACGGAGACCCAAUCGCUCAUCUGAAACAAUAUUGUAACUAGCUGAGGGGUCCUGGUGGAAAAGAGGAGCUGCUAAUGGCCUACUUUGGAGAAAGCCUCACUGGAAUUGCCUCCGAGUGGUACAUCUAUCAAGAAAUUACCCAUUGGAAAGUGUGGGAUGAUUUGGCCCGAGAUUUUGUCCGCCAAUUCCAGUAUAAUGUGGACAUCGCUCCCGACAGAGACUCUUUGUCCAAUUUGAAAAAGAAAACAACAGAUAGCUUCAGUGAAUAUGCUGUCAAAUGGCGCAAGCAAGCCGCCAGGGUAAAACCUCCAAUGGACGAAGCUGAAAUGGUUAUGGUCUUCCUACAGGCCCAAGAGACGGACUACUUCCAGAACAUGAUGUCUACUAUGGGUAGACCUUUUGCUGAGGCUAUCAAAAUUGGGGAGAUAGUCGAAAAUGGUUUGAAAAUAGGGCAAAUCUUGAGUCAUGCUGCUUUUAAGGCCACAUCACAGGCUGCUGAGAAUGGUUCGGAGGGUUUGAUGAACAGAAAUGGGAGUGAAGAGGGAGCCAUGAUGAUUUCAAGUUUGAGGGGGCCCGCAAGUCAUUCAGCCAAUCAUAUGUGCCUCCUAUGGUCCCACCACAUUAUUAUCCCCAUCAAGAUGCUGCUUAUAGUGUGGCACCGCCUUCCCAUGCGGUGAUGAAUGUGCAACCUUACACGCAGCCACAAUAUUAUACACAAAACCGAACUCCACCUCCCAAAAAUACCCAUCUUACCAACAUCCAUAUAAAUCCUCAACCAAAUUAUCUCCAAUACUAUCCUCGCCCAAGAUAGCCUAUCAGAAAUAAUCAAUUCACCCCUAUUGGUGAAUCGUAUUCAAACUUGUUCUAAAAGCUAAUCGGGCUAAAUCUAUUGCAGCCAGUGGUCCCGAACUGGCCGAACCCUGAGUCCCCCUCGCACCGAGCUAAUGCUAUAUGUGAAUACCACUCUGGAGUAGUGGGACACAGUACGGAGGACUGUUGGACCCUCAAAAGGGCAGUUGAAGACUUGAUUGAAGCUGAAAGAAUCGUUCUCCGGGAUGAAGAGGCUCCUAGAAUGAUGAACAAUCCUCUGCCUACUCUCACAAAUGGGCUAGUAGUUGGAAUGAUUUGUGAAGAUGAAGAAUUUGAUCCGCCAUUGAAGGCCAUUGCAGCCAUUGCCGAGACAGAAGAAAAUCCAAAAAACGGUCGACAAGUCUGAAAGUUCCCUAUCAAAUGGGUGUCUCGGUAGCCAGUCUUGCUAUCCUUUCUGCGUCUGGAUUAUCUCAGGGUAUGAUCCGGAUGUUUUACUUUAUUGUAUUACUUUCUGAUGUAAACCCUUCUAUAUUUGAAAUUCAAAAAAAAAAUCAAAAAUCAAAUGAAAUUAAUAUUUCAUCGUCCAUGAAUGUCUCUUUUCUUAAUCUUGUCACUUUUACUAUUCUCUUUUCAGUUCUAUUAAAUGCAGAUUUCAAUAACAUGACAUGCUUGCGGACUUUAUGCACAUAUCAUAAAAUGCAGUCAGACUACGAAAUAAUGAAUCAAGAAUCAGAAUGCAAUGAAGAUAAGUUUAAAGAAAUAAAACAAAGACUCGGAACAUCUGAAGAAAAAUUGGUUCCAUAUUGGAAAGGUCCAUACAUUGCAACAAGAAUACUGCCAAAAGAGUGUGUUGUACUUGGGACACAUCGAAGGAAAUAUCCCUGAAAUAACUAUCAAUGCAAAUGUAGUCAAAAGGUACUAUUUUGGAUCCUCUAUAUAGCAUUAAUGCUCCGAUUGGAAUGACGAAAGCUUUCUUUCUCGCUACCCAAAUACUAUCAAUCCUUUGCAAACCCUUUGAGUCGGUUACUUUUCUUUGAUUACCCUCUUUGGAAACAAAAAUUGUCAUUGGAAAAAAAACAAAAAAUAGAAAAAAAUGACAAAAAUAUAUUGAAAUUAAAAAUGAAAAAAAGUGAAAAAGUAAGGGAAAAAGAAAGAGAAAACAAAACAAAACAGAAGAAAAUAAAAAAUAAAGUUCCAUGAACUAUGUUUGACUUAAUUCCAAAAGGAUACAUAGGCAGCCUCUCUGGAGUUCAGUUACACCAAAAUACAAAUUCACAUUUCCCCAAAGUUGAAACUGGGGCAGAAGUUACAAUGAUUCGGUGAUGGUUUCGCUUGAAGGGUUCCAAAGUUGUAAUUCUAUCCAAAUGCUUUUCACCCCAAAAUCUUGAUCAAGUCCUUCCGAUCAAUCGGUGAGAAUGUUCAAGGAUCGGAGAAUAUAGCUACUUGGAUCUAAUGCAAUCAAAUAAGGAAAAUAAAAUGAGAGAGUCUUAUGGGUGAAAACCCACACGGGCACCGUGAGGCGACAGUAAGCAGAGAAACUAAAAAUGAGAGAGUCUUUUUAGUGAAAACUCGCAAAGAGCACUAUAAGGCGAUGGUGAGAAGAGAAAUGAGAGGGGUUAGCUCGUGAAAACCUACAAAGGGUACCACUGAUCGAAAAAGGGGAUCUUCAGUCACUGACAUUGACACAGUCCUGGGAAAGGUUUCUCGGUUUUGAGGCAAAAGUUGUGAUGAAUUUUGAGAGUCAGACAGUUUGCACGGAUCAGGCAUCCAGUCCAAAAGGCAUUUCAUGUUCAUUGAAGUCCGCAUAUACUCCAAAUAAGCCCUUAUUUCCUUUCCUCGAAAGGGAUACCUCUUGUCUAAAUUCAUUUGUCCAUUCCAUUAUUUGUUUUUCCUUUGAAUCCCUUUUUGGUCUAACUCUAUUCUGAAAUUGAGACAAAGAAGGGAUGGCAAGACUGAUUUACUGGGUUCUCAUUUGAUACGGGCUAAUAUGCAAAAAAAUGCACCCAGCCUCUUCAGGGGCAUCAAAUCGUCCUCAACUGGCCAUGGCGGCCGAUACUAUCAAAAUUCUUGGAAGGAGAAAAUCAAAUUGAAGGCCUACGAAGGCAAAAUAAAGUUGGAAAAUGUUAAGUUCCACGCGACUAGCCGUUGCAGCAAAGUUUGAGGAGCCAAAAAGUUGCCCAAUACUCCGAAGUUAAAAAUUAAAAAACAAUAACAACAAGUCAGAAGUGAAAGGCCUACAAAGGCAAAAUAAAGUCGAAAAGGUUGAGUCCCACGCGACCAACUGUCAUGGCAAAGUCUGGAAAAACCAAAGGUUCUUCAAGGUCAGAAAUGCAAUUGGUAUUCAAGAAACAACCAGUUGCAGUUGAAAGGGCCGAGAUCAAGUGGUUCAGAUAAUCAAGGACACAAAACCAACCAUUGUUUCAAACUGACAAGUAAUUCUUUGUUUGAAAGAUAGGAAACAGGUGCAAUCCAAAAGCAACCUCGUAAGAAGCAGGUGCGACCAAAAGGUAACUACGCAAGGGCUAGAAAUAACUUUGCAGCAACAACCUAAAAAGAUAAGUAUCCUCCAAAAUUCUUUCCCGCAUUUUACUCACUCUCUUAAAUAAAAUUAAAAAAAAUGAAUGAUGAAAAAAAUUGAAAUGAAAUGAAAUGAAUGAAAAGAAGAAAAGUUAAAAAUCAUGGUAGUAUAGAAUCUCCAAUCCCUAGAUGCAUUUUUUCUAACAUAUGGUCUCCAAUCCCUAGUUGAUUUUAUUCUAGACAUAGGGUCUCCACUCCCUAGUCGCUUUUCCAACAUAGGGUCUCUACUCCCUAGUUGAUGCCAACACCACUCCCUAGUUGAUGCCACCAUAACCCGAUGCCAACGUAGGGUCACCACUCCCUAGUUGAUGCCAAUAUAGGGUCUCCACUCCCUAAUUGAUGCCACUAUAACCUGAUGCCAGCAAAACCUGAUGCCAACAUAGGGUCACCAAUCCCUAGUUGAUACCAACACAGGGUCUCCACUCCCUAGUUGAUGCCAGCAUAACCUGAUGCCAAUAUAGGGUCACCACUCCCUAAUUGAUGCCAACAUAUGGUCACCACUCCCUAGUUGAUGAUUUUCUGACAUAGGGUCCCACUCAUAGUUAAUACCAGCAUAACCUGAUGAUUUUCUGAUAUAGGGUCCCACUCCCUAGCCGAUGCUAGCAUAACCUAAUGAUUUUUCAAUGUAGGGUCCCACUCCUUAGUUGAUGCCAGCAUAACCUGAUGAUUUUCCGACAUUGCUAGCAUUACUGAAUAUGAUUAACACCACCAGCGUCAUUGGGAAAGGUUCGGCCUCAACAAAACCAAACCAAAAUCCAAGAAAAAGGGGGAAACCACUGAAAAAAUAAUUUCGAGCCAAAUAUGAAAAUAAUGAUCCUUCAAUUGGCUCAUUAAGACGUCCAGGUAAAUAUGAAUUUCUUGUCAGUUACAAACCCCAGGAAUGGCCAAAAUUACCAGUAUUCACUCCAAGCUGGGAGGAUAGUGAAAUCACACCCAAACCCAAAUCACCAUCAGCUCAUACCCCAGAAUCCAAAAAGCCACCUGAACCUAAAACUUCACCAAUUCAAAAAACCAUAGAUCCCACACUACCAUAGAUAUUCAUGCUAAGUCCUUCAACUCCAGUCAUACGCAAGAUUUUCCUUCACUUCAACCUUUUGAAAAAGAGGGUAUAAGUCAUGCUCUAGAAAUUCCCAAGAAAAAUAUAGUGCUACCUACUUGAGAAAAACCCCCCAACAAGUGACAUCGAUGCAACAAUGAACUGACAAUCAGAAAACUCCAUCUACUAAAACAAGGUGUUGAACAACAUAGGCAACACCAUAAAGAACGUGGCCCAUACACAAAAUAAAAUGAUGAGCAAACUGGAAACAAUUGAGAAAAAGAUGGAGCAAACAUCGUCUCACCAUGCCGGACUAAUCAAAGCCUUGAAACUAAGAUUGGCAAAUUUACAAGAUUUGUCCACCAGGAACUUCACUUUUCCAGUUCUUCCAACAACAACAAAAGGAGACGAUUUCCAUCAAAGAACAAAUUCAACUUCUGAGAAAUGACCAUUUUGAGCAACCAAAAAACCCCAUUUUUCUCCUCAAAACCUACCUUCUUCCCUAUGUCUCCACAAGCAUAUUCCCCACAUAAAUUAGACUACACUCUUUAUACUUUCCCAUCUUCCUCAUAAAAUCCAAUCUCUUUCACCCAACCCUUAAAAGAAGAACAUGAUUUUGAUAUCGCAAAAAUGGUUUGGGAAAGGAAAGAUGCCCUUGCAGCACAAAAACAAACCAAGAAAAGGCGAGACCAAGGAGAAAGUUCAAAAGGGUCCAACCUCGAAAAUCUGAUGAUUUCUGACCAGAAGGCUCCAGACCUCUAUGUCUCCCAACCAAGAUACAUAUCAUAAGAAGGUACUCCAUGGUCGGAAUCUCUGAAUUCAUCAGACGAUGAAACAAUGGAAGAUAACUCUCAAUCAAGCAAUGAAUCCACAACGAACUCUUCCGAAGACGACAAUCCCCCAAUAUUUGUAAACCAGCCAAGGGACCCAGAAGUAUCUAAAGUAGAUGAGGAACAAGAAGGCAUGACAGAUGAGCCAAUCCUAGAAAGAAGAUAUGAGCCCAUGGGGUCAAAACCAAUUGGAACUGGCUUUCACACUUUCACCUUAGAUGACGUCAAGGUUUCAAAAUGGCCUCAAGGAUCCAAGACAUCUAUACUUGGAUAGUGACCAAAAAUUUGGUGGAAUGAGAAAAGUAUAUCAUCCUGUCAGAACUCACUUCACGGUUCUCAGGAAUCCUCAGAGAUUGGUGGAACUCGCUUGGAAUUCAAGACAAAAAUACUUUUCUUACUUCCCAAGAUUUUGCCUUCAACAUCAGGAUCCUACAUGAAGUUUUCUGCAGAGAUACUGGCCAAAUACAGGAGAAAAUGCGAAGACAACUCUUCGAGAUGAAGUGUGUGUCAUUCGACAGAAAUGACAUUGAUAGGCAUUUUCAAAAAUUGGAAAAGAUAUACUUUGAAAUCGGAGGAGACAUCAAUCUGAAGCAAGCCUUUGUCUCUUCCCUUCCAAAAUUGUUGGCAAGCCGAACCAUGACCAUCAUUGAAGAAAAGUUUUAGUCCAUAACAAUCCCACAAAUUAAUUACAUCAGGAAAGCUAUUUUCAUCGUAUUGGAUGACAUUUGUACAAAGCACUCAGCCCUAAAGCAAAUUAUCCAGCAUAAUCCAGCGCUUCACAAGGCAUGCCGCAAAUCUGAUCUAAUCACCGGAUUAGGAUGUUCCUUCCACACAUCCAGGCGAAGGAGAGAAUUUAGGAGAUUUAGAUGGCUAAGAAUUCUAGAUGGGAAAUCAAGGUCCAAGAGACGCACAAAAUAUUUUAGACGCAGAAGGCCAGGAAAUUUUCACAAGAAGAACAAAUGCUUUAUUUUCCAUAAGAUUAGACAUUUUGCAAAAAAUUGUCCCCACUCAAGAAGAUCUGUCAAACUCCUUGAAGAGAUUGAAGAUUAUAGUGGCAUACAUCUUGGAAAAGAGGAGGACCUUGAAUCCAUAUUCUCUGUGGAUAAUGAACCUAAUGAAGAAACUUUAUUCUCUCUUGAUAUCUAUGAAGAUCAAGGCAAUGAUCAAUACCAAAUUUCAAAACCAGUGAUCGAAGCCCAAGAGGAGAUUAACGCUUUCGCAGUUGUUCCUCAAGUAGAACUCAAAGUCUAUUCAUCCAAAUGGGAUAAACCAACUCGCGUUAUUGUUUUCAUCGACACUGGAGCUGCUUCUUCACUCAUAAAUCCUGUUGUUCUCCCUGAAAAUCAAUGGGUGCCGCAUUUUAAAGAUUUCAACAAUGCAUCAAAUGCAAUCUUGACCACAAUUGUCAUUACAAAGCACCCUGUCACAAUUGAGUUCUUUCCAGGGUUGAAGUACAGAAUCAAGCUGCUAGGAUCUUAUGUACCGGGAAAGGAUCUUAUUAUUGGAUUCGACAUUUAAAGACAACUUAGAGAUCAACUCCAGAUCAAGGCUAAUGGGAUAUCUUUUAAAAAGCAGUUCAGACCUUAUUCUGAGAUUCCAAGGCUAUUCCAAAUUACCAACGACGAAAAAAUCAAAGAGAUUGAGCAAAACCUUAUUGAACAUUCAUGUGCUGAAUCUCACAAAGAUUUCAUGAAGAAAGGGAAAUGCCCAUUAUGGAAAAAUGAAGAGUUUUUCAUCAAGCUCCCUUUUUAGAUGAAUGAAAAUAUCAAUCCAACAAAAGCCAGCCAUUCAGGGAUGAAUCCAGAUCAUCUUCAGCUUGCAAAUAAAGAAUGUGAAGAACUUUUGGAAUUUGAUCUGAUAGAGCCAUCAGAUUCACAAUGGGCAUGCGAAGUUUUUUAUGUCAACAAAAGAGGUGAACAGACAAGAGGAAAACUCAGGUUAGUCAUUAAUUACCAGCCACUCAACCAUUUCCUCCAAGAUGAUAAAUUCCCCAUCCCAAAUAAACUCACUCUUUUCUCCCACUUAGCCAAGGCCAAAUAUUUUUCCAAGUUUGAUUUAAAAUCUGGAUUUUGGCAAUUAGGAAUCCACACUGAAGAAAGACCCAAAACGGGAUUUUGCAUCCCCGAUCAUCACUUCCAAUGGAAAGUCAUGUCCUUCGGGUUAAAAAUUGCACCCUCUUUGUUCCAAAAGGCCAUGAUAAAAAUCUUCCAACCCAUCCUUCAUACCUCCUUAGUUUACAUUGAUGACAUCCUGUUAUUUAGUGAUACAUUGGAGGAAUAUGUCAACUUGCUUCGUCAAUUUGAGGCAUUGGUAACACAGUACGAGAUCAUACUUUCUCCAAAAAAGAUGGUUCUUGCUCAAAAGGAGAUUGGUUUUUUCGGAAUGUAUUUUGUCCAAGGUACAUACAGUCCAGGACCACAUAUAUGUCAGGAAUUAAUCAAAUUUCCGGAUACCAACUUCACAACAAAGUAGAUCCAACAGUUCUUGGAGGUAAUAAAUUAUGUAAGAGAUUUCAUCCCAAAUAUCUCUACAUACAUUUCACCGUUCACCGAAUGAUCAAGAAAAAUGCUCCAUCAUAGGGAGAGAAACAGGAUGAAGCAGUCAGAAAAAUAAAAGAGAUAUCUAAAAAUGUCAAAUCUCUCUACAUCACUUCAGAUGGAAACAAGAUACUGCAAACUGAUGCCAUCCAUGAAUAUUGGAGUGUUGUUCUAUUUGAAGAAAAAUAUAGCCAGAGGAAAAUAUGCGGAUACGCCAGUGGAAAAUUCAAAGAUGUCGAGCAACAUUAUCACUCCACUUUCAAGGAAAUUCUUGCAGUAAAGAAUGGUAUCAAGAAAUUCAAUUUCUUCCUUAUCCAUACAGAAUUUCUAAUAGAGAUGGAUAUGAAGGCCUUCCCAAAGAUGAUCCAGAUAAAUUCAAAAUUUAUUCCCAAUCCUCAGAUUCUCAAAUGGGCCCAAUGGUUCUCUCCAUACAAGUUUCAAGUCAAGCACCUGAAAUGAAAAGAUAAUAUUCUCGCAGAUUUUCUGUCUCGGCCGAAAGAAUUCUCAAAAAGAUUUUCCCCAGCAAAACUGAAGUCAGAGCAAAAGCUAAUUAGCCACGUCUUCAUGCUUUCAAAUAUACCAGGAACAAGUUCAUUAAAGCUAACAGAUCAUCCACCGGAGUUGUUCAACCUCAUGGAUCCCUUUGAUCCGUCAAUUAUUAUAGAAAGAAGACGUAUUAUGAGCUCCAAGUUUUCCGGCAACAUGAAGGAUCCAUUCUCAAGCCAUAUGGGGUAAAUCCAGAAUAUCCGUUCUGCCAUGUAUUCAUAACUCAAGCUAAGGAUUUUUCACAAGAACUAUUAUGGUUUUUCUGGUACCUAUGCCAUCAGUAUUAUAUUUUCAUGGAAUUCAAAUGCAACAUNNNNNNNNNNNNNNNNNNNNNNNNNGUUUCAGCGAUUCCUACGCAGCAAAGAUAUUCAUGUUCCAUAGGCCAAUGAAGAUCAUUAAUGGAAACGUCCAUGCGCAAGCAGAGGCAUUAUUUUGGUGGAAAUUUUCUGUGUCCAUUUUAUCAAUGGAGGAAGAAUAUAGCGAAGCACAAAGAAUACUUUCUAGCAAAAUAGGUGCAUCCCGAGAUAGAUAUGGCCAAAAGAUUGGGCAAGCUGGAAUUAUACCAACACCCAUCCUCACUGGGAAAGAGUCCGGGAAGCAGCAAAAGAAUAUCAAACCCCAUACGAAGUCAUCCAAGAAAAGAUCACUCACGAUAUUUCCAGAUUAAAGUUGCGAAUUACAUCUCUCAAUCCAAAGGAGAAAGAACACAGCGGAAAAGGACUGUCAAGUUCCAGGCAUUACUACACCAGGUCUUUGAAAAGAUGCCUACAAGACAACACUAGAAUCAAUGAAGUAUAAUUAUCUAAAUCCCUGCUAAUCCCACCAUAAUCCUGCAUUACCUACCAAAAAAGCCUCAAACAUAUCCUACCCAUGCCAAGACAAAUUCCCACAUCUUUCCAUACUAUCCGGGCCCCACUUCCACUUGUUUUCACAUGCUUCUACAUGCCUUCACAUGCUUUAUCACAUGCAACACAAUACUUUUACAUGGUGUCACAUGAUCCCUCAUACUACCACAUGCUACACCAUGUAUAUUUUACCCCUUUCACAUGUUUUCAGGUGUUUUUUAGUGGUUUUGCCUAAAGUCCUUCACAUGUCAAGAAGGACCCACAUGAAGAUAAGUUUGCCAUGUAAUAUAGGUUUAUUUUAUUAUGCAAGUUUGUCUUGUAAUAACUUUCUAGUCCUAUAUAAAGGAGGCCUUGUAGUAGUUGGAAGAUCAUCUUGCAACCUUUGUAAAUCUUUUGUGAUAUAUUACAUAUGAGUGCUUUCUAAAUUUCCCUCUUGUUCUUUCUUUCCAAUGGAUGGAAAGGCUGGUCCAUGUAUGAAAAUAGAGCAAGAAUACUCUUUGAAAGUUAGCUUAUUAUAGUACGAAAUUUUUUUGAGUUAUAAACAACUAACGUUGGUUAUAGUACAAAAGUUUUAUGAAUUGUGUAGCUUGGCAAACCGUCCUUUAUGGGUUGUUGAAACCAGCCCCUUUAUAGGAAAACUUUUGCAACUAUAAACAAAUUUAUUUUUUGUGUAUCUUGGCAAGCCGUCCCUUAUGGGUUGUUGAAGCUAGCCCCUUUGUAGGAAAACUUUCAUAUCUAUAAUUUAGUUGCUUUCUUGGAUCCCACUCCCUAGUCGAUGCCAGCAUAACCUGAUGAUUUUUCAACGUAGGAUCCCACUCCCUACUCCCUAGUUGAUGCCAGCAUAACCUGAUGACUUUCCAACAUAGGGUCUCACUCCCUAGUUGAUGCCAGCAUAACUUGGUGGUUUACCCAACAAUAGGGCUUCCAAUCCCUAGUCAUUUUCAUUUUAGAUAUAGAGUCUCCACUCCCUAAUCUCUUUUUUCUGGGAUACACAAUCCUAACUUUUAUUGCUUUCAAUAAUAAAGUAGUAUAGAGUUUUGGUUAUAAAUAACUCACGAAAUUUUUCUAGUGAAAACUGGGGCUGAAAAUUUUCGUUCGUUUGUUUGUUUUGGUGUCUGAGCAGGUUCUGAGACAUAGGGUUCAAGACGACCAAAAGAAGAAGACUUAAUCCAGAAGAAAAGAAAAAGAAGUGAACUCAAAGUGCAGAAACGGAGAAAAAAUGUGGAUGGCUCAAGACAUGAUUGACGUCACAAGAUUUGCAUGUCCCGCCUUGAUCCGAAAGGCUGAAGAUGAAUAAACCAGCACUUGCAGCUAACAAGCAUCAAGAUUUAGAUCAGAGUCUGCAUGAAGAACCAGCCAAGACUCAAGAUCAAACUUUAGAAGAUUUAUAGAUAGGAAUGUUGUAACUCGUAGCUGAUAAGUUUAGUUAGUUUAGUUUUCCAUUUUGAUUUUUGUAUAAUAAGGAGCUCAGUAAGUAGUGACAACAACAACAACAGUAAAAUCAUAGUUUUUCGGUAGUCCCAACUACCAAAAUUUUUAGAACUACACUGACCGGAUUCCUUUAUAGUUAAGGAUAUGUAGGCAAUCUCUGAAGCAAGGUUCGGUCAAAAAAAUUCAAAAUUCUUCCAAAUGGAAUACCAAACGAGCAAAUUGCUCGUAAUUACUCACUUUAUCUUUGCCCAAAAACUCUUCAUGUUCUCGAGCAAAGAGGGGCAGCUGUGAGCACCUAAUUUUUUCCCUACAUGAAAAUUACUCCUAAAUAAUUAACAAAAAAUAAUAAAUAUUUCAAAAUAGCUUUAAUCAAUUUUGUAGAAUUUUAGGAACUUUUCUCUAGUUUAGUUAAAUUGUUUUGCUUUUCAUUUUUAUGCAUAAGCAUUUUAAAUCAUGAAAAUGCCAAAAAUAUUUUAUUCAUGCAUUAAAUUUUAGAUUUUAAUUGCAUGAUUGUUGCAUUUAUAAAAUAUAAAAUACCAAAAAUACAUUUCUUAUUAUUAGUUUAAAUUAUUAGUUAAAAAUAGCAUAGGUUACUUCUGCAAAAAUAAGAUUAAUUUGAAUUAAUGACUAAGUGGCUACAAUUUGAAAACAAUUGAUCAAAAGCUGAAAAAGGUCAAAUUGGGCCAAUUCUAUUAGCCCAAAACUACAAAAGAGUUUUGGCAGCCCAAUUGCCCAUCCGCCCCAAGCAUGGUACAAUAACCCAACCCUCUCAUUAAAACCUCCCUCAUCCAAAAAAAAAGGACCUAGAAUUAAUUGCAUUACCUUACCCUAGAGACCUAAUGAGAUAAAAAAAAGGACCUUGUAGCUUUAGGAAAGUUGUGCAUCAGCUUCUUCCUCUAAGAACAAAAACGCAGUAGUUGUUGCCUUUCUUCUUCCGCCAAACACACUUCAUUACAAAUAAAACUUCAACUCCAAAAGCCAUGAAAAUCAACCACGAAAUCCACCAAAAAUCAGCUCCAAUUCACCCCUAAAUCAUCUCCGAACAGCCCAGAAAACGUAGCUGAAGUAGCUGCAAUAAUAGUCCAUAAACCAGCCAUGUUUCCACAUCUAAACCCCUGCGAAAAUUAGUUGAAAAUAGAAGCUAAAAAGCCACAAAAUAUGCUCAAAAUCACCUCCAAAAUAGCUCCAAAACGAGCUGAAAAACACUCCAUGAAAAUAGCUUCAAGAAUGACAAUUGAAACCCAGCUUCCCACCUCAAAAAGACCACCUAAAAAAUAGCUAAAGUUUAGAGUCAAAGUCGAGGGUUUGGUUCAAAUAAAGUCGAGGCCAACGUCGAGCUUUUCGAGUCAUGGUUUUGUUUGGUCUUGUUCGCAUUUUCGGUGUUUGUCGCCGGGAUCUGUUUGCUAGUUGAACAACUUUUGUUGUUGUAUCAAGCUUUGGUUUGAAGGCCCUUUAUAAAUAUAUAGAAAAGUUUUCACAGAGGUUCUUUCUUUUCCAAUCUCAUUUUAUGGUUGAUUUGCUUUGAAUUGUUAUUUAUAUUGUUGAGCAUUUGGAUGCCUUCACAUUGGUUGAUUCUAUGUUUAUUAGUUACUCUCUU
rnacentral:lncRNA from 1 species